CCCUGAGCACCUGUGAAACAAAAUUUUAAGUGAAAGAAAAAAGUUGAUAAAGUAUAAGACACACCUGAUUCAGAAGAUACCAAUUUGCCAUCCCUCUCAGAUAAUUUCAAGCAGGUUAGUAGAAUCUUCGAGACAAUAGGAUCCACUAAAUUCCUCAGAGGAACUGAAUCUAUUACUGAUAUUAAAGCAAGAUGAUAUGAGUCAUCAUAAGAACUGCAAUAAACAAAAAUCAGUUUAGAAGCAGCAAGUAUGCAAAAAAGCAGGACAAGCAGCAAAAACUAAUCAGCUUCACACCUUUGAUCAACCAGAGCUUCCAACAGUAUGGCAAGGAAUCUAUCGAUGUUAAAUUCCUUGGAUAGUUCCAGAAGAACAGCACCAAUAUCCCUGUCAAAGCAUGCAAAAAACCUAGUAAAUUACAAUUUAACCUGGUGACAAAAGACUUGCAGUACUGCAUUAAAUUUCUAAACAAUGUUUAAAAAACAAGGAGUUACUUGAUAUCCCUCAAACUUUCCAAAGCCUUCUUUGGGAAUACAUCAACAGACUGUGACUGCAAAAUUUACACAAACUAAAUUAAGAAAAAUAGAAACUGGAUUGAUAAAAAUAAAACCUAACAUUUAUUGCAGGAUGACUAGAUUCUCAAUUUGAGUGACUCCAACUAAAACCAUUUUGUAAGAAAGGCACAUUGAGCACCUAUUCAAAACGCCCCUUUAAUCAUAUAAAAGGAUCCAUUAAAAGAAAAAAGUAAGUAAUAAGCAUCAUCUCAAGUUAGUAAUUUAACAGAGAUAGAAUGGCUAAAACACCGACCGAAUGAAAAUAUGGAUCAAGCUAAUAUAUUUUUUACAUGUGCAUCAUGAGAAAAUCAACAUGAACUGUUCAAGGUAUGAUACAACAGUUGAAACUUGAAACAUAUAAAUGGUUGAAACUGACACAAAGCUCCCUUGUCAAACAUGUAAACAUGGUAAAAAUAUGGAAAUCAAAUUCACAAAUGAUAUGCAUGUGAACCUUAAACGAAAAAUGCCAAAACCACACCAACAGAAAAUGAUUGAAACUAUUAACUCAUAAAGAACAGGAUUUCAGGAUGAAAUUGUUUUUUGCAAAUUACAUAUUUGGCAGGAGCAGGAUGCUGUUACCUGAACAAGAUUUAUCAAAGCCAUAAGGGCCAACCGAAACCAUUGCAAAUCAGUUGACUCUUUUACAUCUUCCCUAGCAACCUCAGCAACUGUUCGAAUCAAACUAUUUACAAGUUUAGGAGCCAAUGCCACUUUAUUUGCUAGAAAUCCAACAAUCAUCAAAGCACCAGCCUACAUAAAAAUUGUAUAUAAUUCAAUCUAACUACAUCUUCAAAUCAGCAAACUAAAUCUCGUGGGACAAAAACCAUAAAACAAAAUAGAAGGAAUAGUAAAAACAAUUUCCAAAUAAUCACACUUAUGCCUUUAAAAUACCUUGUGAUCAGAACCUCCUUUUGCACCAAAUUGAAGACCAGAAGCUACAAACGGAUGGAUUCUCUUCACAAUGUCACUGUCAAUUGUUGCAACACAACCCAAAACUUCAACAAUAACUGCAGUGCAAAAGCUAACCACUGGUCUUGAUGCCUGAAAUUUCUUUGUCGGAGAUGCCUACAGCAGAUAGUAAUUCAUAUGAGAAUCACCAGGCGAUAGCAACCAAAUUACUAUAUUUUAUACAAACAGUAACUUACAUAGUUGCACAAGGCCUCCAAAACUCCCAUAUCUCGAAUACAUUGUUGCACUAUAACAGACCUAGGAGGCGGUGCACCAGAGGCUUUAACACCAUCCAAAAAUUUCCAUUUACUAUUCCUGUACCAAUCAAGAAAAACAACCCACCAUUUACAAACAACUAUUCGUGAUAACCAAGGGAUGAUAAAAAGAGAAACUCCACAUUUUGCUUACCCUGUGUUGAUUAACUGAACUAUUCGAACAAAUGCAUGCGUGUCAUGGUAUGGAAGCACACAUAAAACCAAAUCCUCAACAUUGUAAACAUGAAUCCUGUAAAUGCCAACGCCAAUCAAUUAAACAUUAUGUACAACAGAAAAAAUAUUAUAAUAAUAACUAAAAAUCAACAUUUAAAAAACAAAACAUUAUCACAAAAGGUGAAAAACUAAAAACAGAACAUUAUCACAGAAGGUGAAAACUAAUACUUACUUGUAUCGACGUAUCAAGUACUCAAGUGUUUUAAGAGAGGCAGAAAGUUGAAGAUGUCCUGAUAGUAACCGCAAAUACGAAUUUAUCGAGGCAUUAAUUUGAUUAUUUUCAUCCACUCCCAUCAAUUCUCUAUCCAAUUCUUUACUCUUGAGAUUGAACAAAUCAAUCUUGCAGUUUCUAAACCUUUCGUCCACGCCUACUAGAAUCUCUAGCCCUAAACACAGCAUGAACCAAUUUUUUUUAACAAAACAUAUCAUAUCAACAACCUUCGUUGAAAGAAAUAAGAAUUACAAAGCGGGAACUAACCUGACAGUGCAAUGUCCAGAAUAGUAUCAAUAUCAAUAUCAGCAGCUUCUUUGGGGUUAAACAAAAUGGAAGGGCGAGUUAAAGGACGCUUUUGAGGUUCAUUCUCAACUUGAAUAAACGUUUUGAUAGCCUGUAGCUGAGAAGCUAUAGAACUCGCCAUUCCUUUCUUGUUUUCCUUUCUUUAACAAUCGAAACGAAAGAGAGAACGAUUUGGGAUUUUUAAGAAUCAAAAAAGAAAGAAAAAAAAAAUGAACUUUCAAACCAAAGAGAAGAAGUAGACUCAAAAACCCUAAGCGCGGCGCCGUUUUCAGGUAUGCUCUGGGGUUUAACCGCCUUCCUGAAAUUCUCUUCUAAAUUUGUGAAGGUUAAAUUCGUCAUUUUAGAGCUGAAGAGAUACUUUUGGUUUUUCUAUUUAGAUUUAAUUGUGUCCAUAUCCCUAUACUCUUCACAUAUUUGAGAUUUAGUCUAAUUAAAAUUGCAAUUUAAAAAGAUUUUAUAAAAUUAUGGUGACUGUGUAUUAUUAUUAAAAUAAAAAUAUUUAAAUCCAACUUAUAAGGAAACUUUUUUUAAAUUUAUAUUGUUUAUUAUUGUUAAAAUAAAUAUAUGACAAUUUAGAAGGAUUUUGUAAAAGUAGGGUGAUUGAGAGCGAAAUUAGGCCUAUCUUCAAUUUUUUCUAAAUCGGCUGAGAAGCUAAUUGGGCCCAAUUGAAAGAUUUGAAGGCCAUUUACUGAAAAGUCCAUUAAACGUGAAAGGCUAUUCAGGCCUACCUACUAUAGAAAUAAAAGACGGGCAAACGUAAACCCACCCAGAAAACCUAUUUUGACUUUAAAAUACCUUUAAAACUAUUAUAAAAUUUAUAUCAAUAAAAUAUAUAAAAGCAUACGAGUUUAGAAUAACUUUUAAAUCAUUAAAGAAUUUACGAAAAAUAUUACAAUUGUCAUAAUUGCACAUUUAGAUAGUUAAUUUUAUCUUAUUUUAAUUUAAAUACAAUUCUAAGCAUAAAAUACGAUAAAUUAAUUAAUAAUGUUUAAUUAAUAAAUGUUUACAUAAAAUUUAGAUUUAAACUGAAUAGAAUUCAUAUUAAUUUAUAAUUAUUAAUUAUAAAAAAGCUUUACCUAAUUACACAUUUAAAUAAUUUAAUUAUUAAUCAUUAAUUACAAUCAUUUUUAAAUUGAAUUUUAAGCUAGAUAGAAUUCUAACCAUUAAAUUCACAAUGUAAUAAUUUAAUGGGUAAACUAUAAAAAUGUCACUAAACUUCAGAGAAUUUUUUCACUGAAUUAUGAGAAAUUAUAUUUUGAUUACUAAAGUUAUCAGCUUAUUACGUUUUCGUCACUCAUCCGUUAAUUAUCAUUACAGCUUUAACGAAAAAGUGAGGUGACACAUUAAUUGAAGGCUUAAUAAUAUGUUAAAUUUUCAUUAACCAUUUUUAUACAUCUAAAAAAAUAUAUUAUGUUAAAUUAUCGUUUAAGUUUAUUUGAUUUUUACUUUUUUGAUAAUUAAGGAAUGGGAUGAGGUUAUUUGGGAUCGAAUUUAAACUCUCAUACCUAUAACAAAUUGUUCUUAUCACUCGUGAAAAUUUAUUAACAAUAUAAAGAUUAAAUUUAUUGUUUUAAUUUUUAUAUGAAUGCAACAACUUUAAUCAAAUUCACCUUCUUCUUUUUUCAUAAAAGAAACCUCCUUACUCAUUUCCUUUUCCUUCCCAUAAAUUUUUUAAAGAAUAUGAGUGGUUUCACCACUAGUAUUACAGAAAUAUAUUAUGACCUUUACUCUUAUUACUUUUAUAUUAAUUUAUUAGUUUAUGGUCAACCUUGAAAUUUUUAAUCUCUUAUAAUUAAUAUAAAAACAAUUAAUUGCAGAAAAAAAAAACUUUAAUGCCUAUGCUUUUCUUUUAUAUUACAUGUUUGAUUAUAUUACUUAAUACAAUUUUAUCCCUAUCAUUUAAAUAUAAAAGUAAUAAUAUAUCUAAAUUUGGAAAAUUUUAAGAGAUGAUAAAUUAUUUGAUGCAGGAUUUUUCACUCUUGCACAGAAGCAAUGGAAGUGGUUGAUGCGGGUAUCAAACUUGCUAACUUCCUAAAAUUUUGUAUAUGUUUAAAAAUUUAAUUAUGUUUACUGUAUUUUUUAGUGGAAACAAGCAGAAAGGAUUUUCCAGUUGCAAAAUAAAUUACUUACUAUUUUCUCACUUGAUUUUUAAUAAGAAAUUGGAUAUUUCUUCGUUAUUCGACUAAUAGUUUAGUUAUGAUUCUAAUUACACGGUAAAAGGUAAUUUUAUUAUACUGCUAAUCCUAAUUUUUAUUUUUAAAAAAAAUUAAAUCUUCUGCAUUCGUAAUCUCUAAAACUGAACAACUUUUAUUUAAAUAAUUUUGUUAAUGAAUGCGAGGAAUCUCUUUGAAUACAUUGUUGUUGACGACUUUAAAUUUAAGAAAAAGAAGAUAAUCACUGUGUCACAUACUGAGACUUUAGCUCUAAUCACAUUCGACCUUAGAUUCAUUUUUUCCGCCAACAAGCCUAAUUUAGCCUUUGAGUUUCGCAUGGGAAAGGCUUGACACAUGUGGAAGUGUUCAUAUUACUCAAAGCUAGCUUGAACAUACAAAAAAAGUUAGGGGAGUCUCUCCUGAAUUAUCCAAUGAUUACAAUUAGUCCUAAUGGACGAUUAAUAUCACAUUUUAGAACCUUCACACCUAACCUUAUUAAAUGUUAUACAAUGGUGAAGAGUUAUAGAGCUUCUGAAACAUUCUACAUGAAUCCGAUCCUUCUUCGGAUUUUUAAAGUGAAUUUUUUAUGUUUGUUGAAUUCCAUACUUGAUGAGGUGUUACUCACAUGCAACGUAAAACUUUCAUGUAUAAGUUAUAAUGUAAAACCCAAGUCUCAACAAAAAUACUUUAAUUUGAUCACGAAAAUUUCAUAAGCUUAGCCCCUACCAGGAAUUGGCUCGCAACAAUGGUCUCGAUUGUCUAAUGCUAGUUUUCUUGUAAACAGAACCACGUGCUAGAUGUUCAAUUUAAUGGCAAAAUUGUCAUGGGAAUCAAAGCUGCAGUCAUGAAGUAAUUAGGAAUUGCUAGUAAAACUAAUUUAGCAAGAGUGACAUACCAACUAAGGAAACUUUCCUAAUAUCCCAAUCAUUGAGCUUUCUACGCACUUUUUCUAGUAUGAACUGUAAAGUGUUUAUUGUAGCACGCCCAUGGAAUAAAUAGCUGUCUACUUACACCCUCAAAUCACCCACUCUCAUGAAACUUAGUAUAUCACUGAUUCUAAUAGUUAACUACUCUUUGAAAUAUAAACUUGAAUCUUGCGACACUGACCUUAUAUCGAGUACAUGACUAACUGUUUUAAGUUCACCUUGUAAAUCAAAUUGUGAAAUCAUUAGACACAUGUAAACUAACUUCACUGGAGUCUAAUUUUCGGACCAAACUUCUUGAUCAAUUAAGUGUCCCAGUCCCUCCAUGCAUAGCACAAAUAACAUAGGGGUAAUGGGUUCCCCUAAUGGAUGCCAUGAAUUGGCCGAAAUGAUUUCAUAGUCUCGCCAUUGUACAGUACCUGAAAAGGAUGCUGUAAGAAUACAACACACGACAAAAACACAGUGAAAAGCAUACAUCAACCAAGGUGUUUUCUAGAAAGUCCCAUCCUACGUUUUUACCAAAUCCAUUUUAAUAACCAUGUAUUGACAUCCUGCCAGCUAUAAAACUGGGUAGAUUUGGUUGCACUAAUUUCGACAUAUGAGGCCGCAAUUGGCAAUGGAUUAACGAUAAUCUUGGUUAUCACCUUGGUUCUUGUUGAUCCAUUCUAACAGUUGAGGAAUUUCCUAAAUUGUUUACCAAGAAAAAAUAUUAUUAAAAUAGUUAGAAAAUUUCUAUAUAAAGAAUCCAGAUGUUUGUUAACUGACUAAUGAUCAUAAGCCUAUUUUGACUUAACCGCUUUCUUACAUCACAGAAAUAAACAGUCAAAGUUAACGACUCCACGGCACUCUCAUUUCUUACUUUUUAUUGUCACUACAAAAAAGAAAUUUCCGCAAAAAUCACAAAUCUUUGAAAAGCUUUUGGAUUUUAAAUUUUCCAAUGGAUUUAUCGAUUUCCAGUCCAUUCCGCGGUGCUUUUCCUGCACCAACUUCAACCUUCAUCCUCAAUCCGAAAUCUCGAUGUUCCCAUUCCUUGAAUUUCUUUAAGCAUCAAAACUCUUACAGCAAAAAUCCGUUUUUUUCCCGCCAAAAAAUACCGAUCAGAGCUCAGGUUUCAGAUCCGGCGGUGGAUGAUGGGUUUGUCAUUGACGAUGUCCCUCACUUGACUGAUUUCCUCCCUGAUUUGCCGGUAUUCACUUCACUUUUCAGCCUUCAUAUUUUAUUUUAUUUUAUUUUUUGCUUUCGUGACUGUUGUUGAUUCUUUUUCCGAGUUUGGAAUUGUUUUAGUUGGAUUAGUGUGGAGAAAAUCAUUCUUGUAAUGAUUAGAAAUUUUGGCUUCUGUUAUUUGGUGUUGAUAAGAAUAAACUGGAAGAGAAAAUAUGGAAAAGAAAAAAACAGUCUAAAUGAACUCUCCUUAUAAAAAAUAAAAAAGAAUUGAGAAGUACUUGAGUUUAAGUGAUUUGGAGUAAAAUUAGAUGAAUGUUAGAGUUAUAAAAUAAUUGAGCUGCUUUGGAAACCAUCAAUGUAAGAACUUGGAAAUUAUUUAAAUAAGAAAAGUAUCAAAAUGAAGAGUCUUUGAUUUCUAAAAAUCUCUCACAUUUGUAGGGACUUAAGAAGUGCAUUGCAAGAGAUGUUGUCACCUUAAAUCUCACUUUGUGAUUCUUCUGACUUCAUUUAUUCAAUUAGUUAUCUCUCAAUGUCACUUCUCUUCACUUCCAUAUGAACUUACAAUUUAUACUGUUGCCCAAUCUGUUGAUAUCCAUGCUGUAUUUCUUCAUCUGAUUUUUUAGGUUUUUGACCGCAUUCAAGUUCUUCCAACUUCUUGGUUUUGUAUUCCUUUUAUACAUAAAUCAUAUCUUUUAGUUGUUUUUUUUUAUUUACUUUUUCUUUCAGUCGUAUCCAAAUCCCUUGCAAAAUAGCCAAGCAUAUGCUAUCGUCAAGUAAGUGCACUUAUUUUUGGUAUAAUUUUCGUAAUAGUUGUGGUCAAUUUCAGUUUCAUGGUCACUAAACUUUAAUCUUCUGUCUUGCCAGGCAAACUUUUGUUCGUCCAGAAGAUGUGGUUGCUCAGAAGGUAGGUAACCAAGACAGAAGAAGAAGAAAAUGAAGAAAAACACAUCCCCAAAGUUGUCCUGAUAAACUUAUUCUAUUUGAUUCAAUCCUACAAUGUCUUAUCUGUUUCCUUUGUCUUGUUUAGAUUGUUGUUCAGAAGGAUAGCUCCCGAGGAGUACAUUUCCGGCGUGCAGGGCCCCGUGAAAAGGUAUGUUUCUUAAGAUGUCAUCAUGCUCUUGACAUGGGUUCAUUAGCCCAUUUAAUGCAUUUUUUAUUGCAGGUAUAUUUCAAAUCAGAGGAAGUGCGUGCUUGUAUAGUAACUUGUGGUGGUUUGUGCCCAGGGAUCAAUACAGUCAUUCGGGAGAUUGUCUGUGGAUUAAACUAUAUGUAUGGUGUUGAUGAUAUACUUGGCAUUCAGGUUAGAUCAUUUGAUAUUACAUUUUCUUCGAUCAUGUGUGGAUUGUUUUUCAUGAACUCGUGUGGUUUUUGCUUAUUCAUUGAAUAUAUCUACUGUUCAUCUUUCUUAUAUUCGUUUAAAAUUUGUGCAUGAACGUAUUUUUUAAAAUCUGAAAUUGUGUUAGCCAUUUUUCUCUUUCAGCAAGAAAGACAAGAUGGUUUUCUAUGGGUAUAGUAUCUCCAUUUGAGCUUAGUUUAAUAGUUUUCAAGUUCAUAUUUUAACUAUUAAUUCCAGAUUGUCUAGGUUCUUACCCAGUUAUUUCAUAUUCAAUUGAUAUUUUACAAAUUCAUGCUAUAGUAUGGCAAUAUGCAACAUGGCAACUAUCAUUCUGAGUUGUUGUUUACUGCUACGAGAAACUAUUCAUGCUAGCAGGACUGCUGCAUGUUUUAUGUUAUUAAUUGAUACAAGGCCCUAAAUACUGGCUCCAUGUCAACUGGAAAAAUAAUUGACUAGUGCAUCUAUUUUCAGCACAUGAUUUUUUUAUUUCACUUGAAAAAUAUUUUAUGGUGGCUCCUUUAAAUGUUCACAUGUUUAAUAGGACUGUUGCUGUGAAAAGAGUUUAAAGAGCUUCUAGUUUUUCUAGAUUCCACAGUACAUUGCGCAGUUCACUUUGUGAUCAUUCGUCUGUUUUUUUUCUUCUUUAUGUAUGUUUCUCGGUUCUCUUAAACUUAAUUCACAUUCUUUUACAUUGAUUGUAUCAAAUUUUAGUUGGUUGCAACAUUGUUUCAUCGUUAUACUGUUGAAAAUUCUAGGGAGGAUAUAGAGGCUUUUACUCUAAAAAUACCUCGACAUUAACACCCAAAGUUGUGAAUGAUAUCCACAAACGUGGGGGCACCUUUCUUCUCACUUCACGAGGAGGUCAUGAUACUCAAAAGAUUGUUGAUAACAUCCAGGACAGGGGAAUCAAUCAGGUAAGCAGUUGCUUUCUUGUCGAUAACAAAGUUCCCUCACUGGUAGGUAGCUUGUCAAAAUCUCUAUGGAUUUCAGGUUUACAUUAUUGGAGGAGAUGGAACCCAGCGAGGGGCAUCUCGGAUUUAUGAGGUAAUAGGUCUUCCAACAUAAGAUCAUUCCUUUUACUUAGGUGUAUCCAUCUUGAUCUUUUUGGAUUUUAUUUUUUCUAUUUCUUACUUUCUGUUGUUUCCUAUGGGCACAUUUUCUUCAAGGAAGUUGAGAAACGUGGUCUUAAGGUAGCAGUUGCUGGCAUACCCAAGACAAUUGAUAAUGAUAUUGCAGUAAGUUCAACCACAAUAUUAUAAUGUUUGAGAGAGUAAAAUAAGGUAGUAUUUUGCAGUGGUCAUAUGACUACCAAAUUUAUUAACUCUACAAAGAAUAUAAAGCAUGCUUUACUUUUCGUAUUUAGACUAGAUCCAUGCACCUAUCAUUUGGGUUUUAGAUAGUCCUAUAUCAAGUGAAUUUUAUAGCUUAUAAAUACUCCCAACUAAGAGGGUACUGUUCCUGGGUAAAAGCAAAUAAAGUGGCCUUCUUUGUAUCUGCAGUUUUUAGAAUGAUUGGAGUGUAAAACAUCUUAAUAAUUAUUCAAUUACGGGGCCUCUUUUUCCAACUGUUGACUGCUAAUUUUUACAUAUUUCUUCUAUUUCUCUUACCAUAUUCUCUUUAUUCUUUAAAGGCCCUUUGCAAGGCCACGAUGGAUUAUAUUUUUCUAAUGCUCUUAUAGAAAUAUGAUUUUCAUAUACAACUUUGAAGGUUGCAAUCUUCUGUUUAAACUGACUGGUUAUAAUUGUGCCUGCCUUAAGGUGAUUGACAAAUCUUUUGGUUUUGAUACUGCUGUUGAAGAAGCUCAGAGGGCCAUUAAUGCUGCACAUGUGGAGGUAGAAAGUGUGGAAAAUGGCAUUGGAAUUGUCAAACUCAUGGGAAGAUACAGCGGUUAGUGUUUUGAACUUUAUAGAAACUACAUGAUAAUUAUGGAGAUAAUGCAUAUUGUGUGUGUGUGUGUGUGUGGUGUGGUGUGGUUGGCAUCCUCUUUAACUAAUACUCAUGCAGGUUUCAUUGCUAUGUUUGCAACCCUGGCAAGUCGCGAUGUGGUAAGGUCUUGGUCCCAUUUUCUAUGCAACUAGCUUCAUAUGAUAAAUACCUCUGAAUUACAUGAAUAUUAGAUGACUAUACCCUUUCUUGUCUUUUUUGUUAUCAUUGUUUAUUUCCCCAUACUUCAAUUUCCCAAGAAUUCAUUCAACUUGAGUAAAGAGUAAAGUGUAAUAUUUUUGUUCAAAUUCUUCAUCUUUGUGUGGUUGAUGUCUAACAAUAUCAUAAUAUUUGACAUGCAACAGGAUUGCUGCUUGAUUCCAGAAUCACCAUUCUAUUUGGAAGGCAAAGGUGGACUCUUUGAGUUUAUUGAAGAGCGACUAAAAGAGAAUGGACAUAUAGUUAUUGUUGCUGCUGAAGGAGCUGGUCAGGAAUAUCUUGCUCAAAGUAUGCAAGGAAUUGAUGAGAAAGAUGCAUCUGGAAACAGGCUUCUCCUUGAUGUUGGUCUCUGGUUAACCCAAAACAUCAAGGUGGGGUGCAUAAUCUCUCUUAUCAGCUUCAGAUUUUUAAUUCAGUAAAUCAUGGUAUCACAGUCUCAACAAUACCUUAAGGAAGAAACUAAGGCUUUUAUUUCUCCUUCCCUUAAGCAACCUUUCUCCAGAAGGUUUUUUAUUGAAACGAGCAUUGAAGUGGGUGCUAGUUGUAAUUAAUAUUCCUUUGUUGGAUUCUGUGUUUAAUUUCAUUUUAUAUAAUCAUAUAUCAAUGCAGGUUUAGAAAUAGAAGCAUCUAUAAUCUAGGAAACCAGAAAAGGAAAAGAUGGUGUUCUUUCUUGCAUUCUGAACUAUAUACCGACAGGAAAAUCUUAGUGCACCACUAGAAUAUUAUGUUGCAUGAAACAUUUUUGUUUGAGUUUAAACUUUACUAUGAACUGGUUCUUGAUUUCUGGUUGUAGUAAUUUUCCUUGAGCUCCAUAACAGAAGGGUUUUAGUGUAUUAACACAACAGCUCGUGGUGUAUAAUUAUAAAUUUUGGAGGAAAUUGUAACUCUAUUAUGUUACCAACGGUCUUUGGUAAUCAACCCUCUUUUUGUUCUUCUCACCUGUGCUUUUAUCAUUUCCCCUUAAUUAUUUACUACUUCAUGCAGGAUCAUUUUACUAAGGAGCGGAAGAUGGCAAUAAAUAUGAAAUACAUUGGUAAGUUCAACAUCAUAUCUUUUUUAUCCCCACUCUUGUCCUUGUGGCUAGUGCAAUUUUAUUUGAUCUGUCAUUUUUAUAGUUAAGAUAAUCCUGGUUAAGAGAUUUGGGUGUUUUGUCAUGCUAAUUUUACUAAAACCGCAAGAAAAUUCUUGGAUAUGCAUAAUCCAUAUUUUGCAAAUAGUUAGGUAAAUGAUGGUUGGUGCUGCAAUUACUUGAUUUGUUAUGCAUUUGAUCAUGUGCUACCCUCCUGAAAUAAGAUGUUUCUGUCUGUUUCAUUAUGCUUGGUACUUUAAAGAAAUCUUGUUCAAAUAUCAUGACCAAACAUGAAAUCAUGAGCCGCAGUUUUACUGCAAACCUCUUGGAAACUUGUUUUUCUCUCUGUGUCAUCUACCAAAAUUUUACUGAAUUAACUGUUAUAAUAAAAGCAGCUGGUUUGAAAUUAUCUACUUGCAUGGACACCAAAUUUCAUAUGAGGCAUCUUUUCAUUUUAAGAACCUUUUCUUGAGUUUCUGAUGUGGAAGUUGGUGGACAAAAUUUGAACUCUCCUCUAGAUCGGAACUGCUUGUUCUUAUUAUUUCAUGUGAUAAAACUAAAAUUAUUUUUAUCUUUCAUCCUCCAGAUCCUACAUACAUGAUACGAGCUAUUCCGAGUAAUGCAUCAGACAAUAUUUACUGCACCCUUCUUGCACAAAGUGCUGUGCAUGGGGCCAUGGCUGGAUAUACAGGGUUCACAGUUGGACCUGUAAACAGCAGACACGCCUAUAUUCCAAUUUCUGUAAGCUUUGAAGUUUUCAAUGGUUUUAACUUUAUUUUGAAAUCUAAUAAUUUUGCUUGACAUCUAAUUGCAUUUAUUCUUUUGAAGUUAAAAUGUUUCUCCAUGAACUAACUUGUUCGAAAUUCAACUAGUUUUUUCCUUACCUUACAAGCAUCAAUCCCCCAAAACUGAAGAUAAUUGGUUGUUGUCACCUCUUUGCAAAUUAACCUAGUUUUUGUACUGUAUUGGAGUUGACGUCUAACUUGGAAUGUCGCUGUAUGGUAUUUCUGUUUCAGAACGUUACUGAAACUCAAAACACCGUGAAGUUGACUGAUAGGAUGUGGGCUAGACUUCUUGCUUCGACAAACCAACCGAGUUUCCUGAACUGUGAUGAAUCAACAGGUGGGAAAGUCUGUAAAGAUACUAUCGACUUGAUCAACAACAUGAAGAUUACAUCUAUUUAGAUUCGAUUGAUAUAUGCUCCGAUGUAAACACAUCAUCAUGGCUUCAUUUCUUACCUCUAAUAAUUUGCAAAACACUUCAACUUCGACGCUUUGAAGUCACCAAGAAGUCACCAUCUGCAUUUAGCUCAUAUUUGGGUUGCUACAUAUUUGUUCUCACUUUGGAUUGUCUCAAGAAUUUGAUAUCAUCAUGACACAUUGCCAACCUAUAUGUAUAUUAUAUUGAACCGGAAAAUUUUGCUUCAAAGUGUAUCAGCAUAGAUAUUUCAGUUACUUCGAUUCCGAUGUUUAUCCAUUUUCUUGAAUCCUUAUGUGUAUCUUUCGUUGCUCCUUUUUUUACUUUGAAAACUAAGUAGGCACAUUUGCAUAUGCCAAGAAGACGUUCUUAAAGUGUAUAUUGUCAAAUAUAUGUUGGAACACCAUAUGUAUUCACAUAACAUGACAUUGAUCGUUAAUUUAUUAUAUUGAUAUGCUUGCUCGAACAACAUGCAUUUGGACCCUGAAACUCUGAUCCUCCCUUGUGGUAUAUUCUCUAAAUAGUAGUGCUUGUUAACUUGUUGCUUAUGUUUAUUGGAAAAAGUAUGUGAUGGGUCUUGGACUUGCGUAAGUCCCUUUUAUUUAAUAGACAUGUCUUUAAGGAUGGAAGUUGUGUUGUUGGCUCAUGAUAAAUGAUAUCUAGGUAUCGUUUAUGGCAAAAUAAUGCUAACCGAGUUGCGAUCCAAUCUAAUCUUAUAGGAAUAGUUUUGUCGGGGUGGGUUUAAUAUUUAAAUUUUAUAAUAAAAUUUAAAAUUAUAUAUGAAUUUUGAUUCAAUUUAUAUUUUAAUACAUCAAUUUGGUUUAGUACUAUUAUAUGCAUGAUUUUUAUUCAGUUGCAUAUUUAAAAUUUUAAUUUUAAUUAAUAGUAUAUGUUCAGAAAAGAACAAAUCACUUUUAUUUAUGUUCACAUUAAUUAACUAUAAUUAUUUGUACGUACAAUGAGUAAAUAUAAAAAAGUGUCAUAUCAAUAACAGUGCUUGUGUUUUGUAAAAACUAAAUCAAAAUCAAAACAUGCUCUAAGAUGUAAUAUCAAAUCAUGUAAAACUUAAAAAGUCAAUCCCAUUCCAAUCAAUAAACAAAAAAGAAAAAAGGAAAAGAAGAGUAUAUUUAUUAAAAAAAAUUGUCAUGAUUUAGCCGUUAAAUUGUACACCUUUUUUCACAUUGAUAUCUAAAUUAUAUGGUGUAAAAAAUUGGUACUUAUAAUAUCUUAUAGAAUUUGGUCCAAAAUUCAAAUUGCAGUAAAAAUAAAAAGAAAUGACCCAAGAUAUUGCAACAAACAUUGAAGGAGCAACAGCAAGAAAAAUGUAUCUAUGCUACUGUCAUUUGCAGAUGUAUCUAUGCUACUUGGGGAAAGCAAGAUAAUGACAGAAAAAAACAUAAAAAAAUACAAUAAGCACAGAAUAGAAAAAUGCCCUCAAUCAGUAUCCAAAAAAGAGAUAGGAAGAACAAAGCACAAGUUGGAACACCAUACCACUCAAUAUUAUGUAAUCAAUACCUAAAUAUAUGAAUAGAAGUCAAACAAGUAGUAAUCACAAUAAAGAUGAGGGAGAAACCAGUAGCAAUAUCAGCGGCUGGCUUCCCAAACCUGAUAACAAAUAAGGCUAGGUAUGAAAUUAUUUUAACUUUUAAGGAUAAAAAGGAAAAAUCAUAGAUAAAAUAUGGUUAUAUUUGUCAAAGGAAAAGGCUUCACGGUUCACUGUAGGUACACUGAAGGCUUUGGCUCUAGUCAAAGCAAAAUAGCAUUUUUGGAGUUUGUAACGCAUCGAGGCUGCGUUGAGACUUCAGUGAAAAUCUAUCCUAAAUGUGCCUUUGUGGAGGCAAUCAGUGAUCCAAAGGAAGUCAAACUUGGAAAAAAAGUCUUCCCAUUAAAGUUUGCCAUGAUUCUCUCACAAAGUGAAAGGGAUCAUAUAUGAAUUAUAAAUUUUUAAAGGAAUUAAUAUGUAAUUUUGUCAUUAUAUUAAUUUAUAGUUUAUCAUUAUAUCUGAAUUUGAUUUUAGUCUUCAAAUACCAACAAAAAAGUUUCAACUACUCUAAAAAUAAAUAUUAUCUGAUCCAAUUCAAACAAUAUUGUUGUCCCCUUUCUUCCUACUCAAUUUAGCAUAUUAAUUAAAACAUAAUUUACUAUUACCAAUGUUUUCUUAAACCCGAUGUCUCGUAUCAAAUUUAAAUUAUCUUAAAUAGUAACUCCGCAUGAAUCACUAGACAUAUCUUUAAAUUUUGAUAAUAGGUAAAAUAAUAUAUAUAUAUAGAUAAAUUGAAUUAUAAAAAGAUGCACAUGGUUUUGACUUUUGAGUCUAGUAGUCCCCAUCCAGCUAUUCUAUUAUUACAAUAUGAGAGCAAGCUGGGAAAUCUAAAGAAUUGAAAAUGGAUACGGCAGGUUGAAAUUUAUGAUAAUGAGAUCGUAUGAAUAAAGGAUAAUGAGAUCAUAUGAAUAAAGGGUUGAUGAUAAUAAUAUUAUCCCUCUUCUCUUAUAUCUUUAUAAGUCGGCUAUUUAUUAGUCUGGUUUUUUGGAAUUUUCUCUCUCUGCAAGUUGCUGUAAUGUGGGCGUUUGUUAGUACAUCUCCAUCACUCGCAACUGGUUACACUAUUAUCUAUUAAUUAUGUGUUUAUAUUUACACAUUUCCAUCCAAGAGUAGUAAGCAAUAUCAAUUUUGCGAUUAUCUACACACGAUGUUAUGAUAUAGCACCUAAAGUGGUGAAGUAAUGGCUAACUUUGCACUUAGGUCACCAAUAACUCAGUAUAAUAGUAGCUAACACCACUUUACAUAUAAUAAUAAUUAUUCUCAACAACCUUUUAAUCCAAUGAUAAGAACAAAGCAUUAUAUUGUAAGUACGAGCGUUUUAUUUCGAUCUUAAACAAUUUCAUUCUCCUCCCCAAUUAUAAAAUAUAUAUAUAUAUUAUAAAAUACCAAAAAAAUGACUUACGAGCCUUAAUAAGAACUUACUUUAUAACUCAAUAAACUAUUUAUUAAAGAGCUUCGUUUAUUUAAACCCUUCAACUUAUACAUUUUUUAGCAAAAUGAGAUUAAAUCCCAACAUUGCAAACGACUAAUAAAUACAAUAUUAACCAUUAAGUAUUCACCAUUCAAAUUUAUUUUACUUUUAUGAAUAACGAAAUGUCUAUUAUUCGAAACUAUUAGGAAAAAGAAGAAGUAGUAGAUAAUAGAUUUGGAUAUUCAAAUUCAAAAUAGUUUAUUUGAACUUGAAUAUCCAAAUCUAUUAUCUACUAUUUUUUUUCCUAACCAUCGGACGACUUUGGAGAGCCUCUGUGCAUUGCCAAUGGCUUCACGCUAUCGGGUUGGCUCUCCUGCUCCCACUUCUCAUAGGCGGUGGCACUUUCUCAAGUCCUUUUGGACUCCUCUACAAUGACUUCUUUUGUCCCUCUUUGAACUCCAAUGAUCUUAGGAAUUUUUUUAAAAAUCAAAAUUAACUUAAUUCAAUUUGAAUCAACUUAAAAUUAAUUCAACCUAUUGUUUAUAUAGUUGAUAAGUUUGUGCGUGUAAGUAUUUCUUUUGAUCAAUUGAUAUUGAUAUUAUUAUAAUAUAAAAAAAAUAUAAAUAUAAACAUGCUAAAGUACAUAUAUUUUUCAUUUAAAAAUUAAAAAAAAAAUAUUAUUAUUAAUUUUAAACGUUAUAUAAGAAAAACCCACCUCUUCUAUGAGAAAAUUCGUACAUGUGCAAAAUAUAGUCGAAAUAAUAUCUAGACUUUAGCUAAUCCCUUUUCCAUUAGUUGAAAAUAACAUAAACUUAGAAAAUGAUUUUGCACUAAAAUUUCUACUUAUUCAAACCACAAUUUUUUACUCAUUCAUAGCACGCACUAACAAAAGAAAAAUCAAAAAGAGAUAUUUUAAAAUUUUAGAAUUAAUAAAUUAAAUAAAUUAUUUUUUAGAAUUAUAUUUGAUAUAUUUACAAUUUAUACUUUUAUCUACAAUAAAAAAAAUUGAAGAAUAAUAUUACAUCAUAAAAAUAAAGUGAUAAAUAUACGUUACAUUUCUAAUGAAAGAACGUAAGUUAAAAUUUUAUAAACAAUAUUGUUUGAAGCGACAACUAUGAACUUCAUAAAUCAUAAAACAGACACGAAAAUUAUAAUUUUUUUUAAUAUUUUUAAUUUAUCAUCUAUUUUAACUUCCAUAACAUAUUUUAUAGUUUAAUUAUCAUGUAUAAAUCUCCAUAUGCUUGUAAUUAUAUUAUAAUUAUAGAAAACUGAUGUAGAAAAUAUCAUAAAUAUCUUUGGGAAGCAUAUAUGAGCCUUAUUGUAUAAACAAAACAUAGUCCAAAUAAUAUCUAGACUCUAAGCAUUACUCUUUUCCAUUGUUGAAAAUGAAUUUCCACCCAAAUUCCUACAUAUAUCAUCACACCUUUUUCUUUUCAUUGAUAGCACUUAAAAAAGAAAAGAAAAAAAAAUAAAAAGGAGAUAUUUUAAAAUUAAUGAAUUUUUUUUUUGUAUAUUCUAUCAAAAAAUUGAAUAAUUAUAUAUAUCUUAAAAUAAUGUAGUCAUUUAAAUCCAUUUUUAAUCAUUUAGUAUUUUUACUUUUAUUUAUAGAAAUUUAGUCCCUUUACUUUUCAGAUUUCAAAAUUCAGGUCCAAUUGUUGAGGGUACUAAAUUCCUGUACUUGUAUUUAACAAUUAAACCUAGAUUUUGAAAUAUGAAAAAAUAGUGGGACUAAAUUUCAAGUUUGUGAAGAGUAUAGGGACUUAUGGCAUAUUUUAACCUUUUUCUUAAUUCAAUAAAAUUAAUGUAUUAUUUUUUAAAAAUAUCUAAAAUAAAAUCUAUGUAAUUAAUUCUUAAAUGGGAUAAAUAUUAAAAAUAUACGCAAAUUUUGAUGCAAUGUGUAAUGUUUUACAUGAAUUCUAAUUUUCUGCGAUUUUAUACAUAAAUUUUUAAUUUGAUUAAAUUUUCACAAAUCACUAACAACAUUAUCGAAUUAGCACCAUUUUACGUUGAUACAUUGCAUACACAAACAAGUAUAUUAAUUCAAUAUGAAAAUAAAUGUAUGCAUUUGUUUUUAUAAAUGUGAAUAAUUGAAUUAAAAUCAAAGUUUUGUAUAUACAUAUGAAUCACAAUUCAUGUUUUAUGCGUAUAAUUACACUAAAUCAAAGUUAAUGUAUCGAAUUCUACAAUAUUAAACUAAAGUUCAUAUAUGAAUUUGAUAUUUAUAAAAAAAACACACACACAGACCAACAUUGUGCCAUUUUCCACUCCACAAAAACUUCAAAUAUUGCAACUUUAUAUACAAGUCAUUGUACAAUAAGUUGUUGAAUUCUUACAUUUUCUUCUAAAAAAGAAACAUAACUCAAUAGGUAACAUUUUUUUAUUUUUUUAUUUAUUUAUCAGGUUAUUUACUAAAGUGAGCUGAAUAAUUAAUUCUUCGCAUUCUGUAGGUUUUCCGCAUUCUGUAAGUCCAUUAAAGAGUAAAUGUUGGCCAUAAAUUUUAAAGUUGCUUCAUUUUUAAGGCGAAAAUUAAACUCUUAAUCACUGAUUAAAGUAAGAGAGACCCUUACCAUCUCACUUAACUCCCGUGAUUUUUAUUAACUCCCGUAAUUUCUAUUUGGUAAUAUUGAUUACUUAUGUACAUAUUAUUAUAAAAUACAUUUAAAUAUGAUGUGGUUUGGGCAUUUAGUACAUUAUCUAACAUGUCACCAUAAAUGUUUUCUAGUCAAGAGAGACAGUCCAUUCCGAUCAUCAUCAUCAAGCUCACCCUCUUCUUCCUUCACCUCCCAUGCCAUUUCGCUACUUCCCGGCGAUGUGACGUCACUUUCCGGCAACCAAACUCUCUUUUCUCUCCUCCUUUUCCUCCCGGUAGUAACCGCCGGUGGCUGGCUUCCCUCUCCGGCUUCAAGUGGAAAAUUCAAUAUUGCUUUCUGACCCCUCAUUUUAAACGCAGCACAAUCAUAAGCCUUAGCAGCACCGACAUCACUAUCGUAAGUCCCUAACCAUACCCGAAUCCCUUUCCGGUUCGGGUCACGGAUCUCCGCCGCAAACUUUCCCCAUGGCCUUCUUCGUACACCUCUAUAAUGCCUUUUCUCUUCACAGAGUGGCCCCUUUGUUAUCGGCCCUGGUUCUACACCAUGGGUGAAGAUUUCAGGGAGUUGAUGGCUUUGGGGUUGAAGGUGAGAAAGGUCAAAAUCGAGGGUGUUUAUGAAAGCAUCGGGGGUGGCAACGUCACCGAGAAGGUGUUGUCGAAUGAACUCGAGAGUUGUUGAUUCUUCAAAGGUAGCCGCCAUUGUUAAAGUUUACAAGGAAUUUGUAUAUGAUGAAAUUGGAUAUGAAGUUGAUAUGGGGGAGUGAGUGAGGAUCUAUUUAUACAGUGAAGAUCAAAAUCUCCCUUUUCCAUCGCCAUGGAAAUUGACAGCUUUUUCAAGUGUGGGACUCACCUUGGGGUGAAAAAUAUCCUUUGGAUCCAUGUAUGCAUACUACGAUAUGAGAGCACCUACAUCAUAUUUAUAAAUAAAUAAUUUCAAUUUAUCUAAGUUUAUUCAUAGAUAAGUAUACAUACGUAAAAUUAGAGGUUAAUGCAAUGGUAAAAUAUAUUUUGAUAUUUUAAAAUUUAAAAUUUAAUUAUGAUUUCUUUAAAAAUAAAUAUUUAUAUUUUAAUCCUUAAUAAAUUAUAAAAUUUUACAUUAAUAUAAUGAUAAAAUUAUCUUUUUCGCUCUCUUAAAUAUAAAAUUCAAAUUCCACGUCUCCAAAAACAAAUUCUGGCUUCCGACUUGUCGAAAUCGAAACGUUGAAAUAUUAAUUAAACAAAGUCAAGGAGGAGUUGGAGUAUAUACAUAAAUAAAAAUCCCAACCCUGGCAUUGCCCGUUGCUUUAUCUCUCAGUGUUUUGGUUUGCCCAUAGUAGCUUGGAACUGUUUCUGCACACGGUUUUAACACUAAGUACUAUGUGCUGGAAAUUAAGGGAUGAUCUUAUCCUUUGGCAAUUAAAGCAGCCCAGAAAUGGGGUCCUUUUAAUAGGGAGUUCUUCAAGUUGACUCUGGAGGCAGCAACAGAAGCUAAAAAGAUUGUCCAUGUUAUAUAUAUAUAUGUCCUGAGGUUGCUGGGACCUCCCAAGUUGCUCAAGCCAUAUCCAUAUAUAUGUUUGGCAAAUAAGGAGCUAUGGUGUAAAUUGAGGGAGUGGACAUGCAACAUUUUAAGAGACAAAUCACUUUGCAACUGGAGUGGCUACUUGGAGGGAUCCACACCCCAAUUAAUCCUCUUGUCAUUUUAUUUGACAGCUUCAUUAUGAAUUGUGUGUGUGUAAGAUGACCGGAUUCGAAGCUAGCUAUUUCAAGUUGUUUCUAAUUUGCUAACUUACAUCCCUAGGGACAAAAAGUACUUGUUCUACCACUUGCUAAGUAGACCCCUACCCCAUAAUCAAAUCCAUGCAUGCAUCACUUUGCCAUGUUACUAGAAAACACUUUGUAAAAUGUGUUGCAUAUGAUUUUUGGAGAAAAGUAAUAAGUUCGGUAAUUGAUUUAACAGGUUUCAAGUUACCAAUAUAAUUUUUUUUGUUUUUGAGGUGGCUUGAUCAGAUCGCUAUAGUCUUUUCAUAUUUGUCUUCUAACCAUAGUUGUUGGUUUAAAAAAGACUCCACGAGAUUUCACUAUCAUAAAAUUGCACCUUAGACAUUAACGAAAAUUAGAGAUAGUCUCAUGCAAGUAAAGUUAUACUUUAUUCUUAAUAACCAAAUAAAGUAGCUUAAGAGAAAAUUCAAGUUCGAACCUAGAAAUAAUAUUGUUGGGAAGAGAUAUCACAAAUCUUAAAAAAAUUAAUCUUUAUGGACUUAAAAUGGGCAUGAAAGAUACCCUAAUUAUACCUAAAAAAAAAUCCAUCUCAAGUUGUAAACUAUGAGCUUCCAAUUGCUCAAAAACAACAAGAAAUAAAUUUAAAUCUAAAAUAAAUUGUACUCAAAAUAUUUAAAUUUGAAAACUAAAAUAAAUAGUCUAUUGAAUCAUGGGUGGAAUAGCAAACCACUUAUGUUUAAGUAUUUAGUUGACAUCAUUGGACAACACUUAGUUCUUAUAAAAAAAAUUAUUCGGUUCUUCCAAUUCUAAAUUAAUAUUCAAAUAAUUAUGGGAUAAAUAUCAAAAUUAUAUACGAACUUUGAUGUAUAAUUAACAUGGACUUUAAUUUUGUAUAAUUAUACACAUCAAACUUUGAUUUCAGUUCAAAUGUGUACAUUCGAUUUUGAUUUAAUUAUACACAUUAUAAAUAUGAAUACAUGCAACUUAUCUUUAUAUUAGAUAAGUAUAAUUAUUUACGCAUAUAAUAUGUGAACACAAAAUGGUAUUAUAUCAACAGUGAUAUUAAUAAUUUAUGAAAAUUAAAUCAAAUAAGAAAAUAACAAUAUCAAAAUUUACACAUAACAUUUUAUAUCAAACCAAAAUUCGCGUAUAAUUUUAAAGAUUUAUGUCAAUAAUUAUAUUAAAAACUUUAUUUAAGAUGGAGACUUUUCUUCUAUCAAGAGUUGGAGGCAAGUCUUCUAGCAUUGGAAUGUAAAUAGAUUGUAACAAAUUCAAUUUUAAUUAUAUUUUAGACUAAACAUCUUUAUCUUAUAUUAACAAAAUUAUUACUCAUCACGGAACAAAUAUUAAUAGUAAUAAUCUCACCUAUUUUCUUAAAUUUUAUUAAAUGCAAUUGCGUGAUGUAUUCGAUAAACUUUCAUAUCCCAACUUGUAAUUAUAAAAUAUUCUUUAAAAAUCUUCAUUUGGGUUUAUUUUUAAUAUGAAAACUAAAUUGAUUUUUUUAUAAAAUCCCAUUCUUACGUUAUCAUAUAUAGAUUAUAUUAUAGUUGCUUUCAAAUAUAUAUACAUAUAUAUAAUUAUAAUUUGAUUAAAUUUUCAUAAAAUAUUAAUAAAUUAUUGAAUUACAUUGGUAUAUUGAAUACGCAAAAAAUUAUAUUAAUUCAAUAUGAAAAUAAAUAUAUGUAUUUAUUUUUUUAUAUGUGUAUAAUUGGAUUAAAAUCAAAUAUAAAAACUAAAAUUCAAGUUUCAUAUAUAUAAUUACACCAGAUCAAAAUUUAUAUAUCAAAUUAGUAACCAUGCAAAAAUUUAUAUUUAAUUAAUAUAUUUGGUUCAAAUAAUUAAAAAAAUUAUUAACAAAAACCCCCUUACAUAAAUCUUAAUUGAUUAAUCAUAACAAAGAUUUUGAUUUUGAUUUUCUGUAAAAAUAAAAUAAUAAUUUCAUUAAAUAAACAAAUCAAGAAACAAAUACAAUUUUAAUUAAAUAAAAAACCUUAGGCUUUGGCAUUCUCUAGUUUAUAUACACUAAUAAUACUCAUACUAAUCCAAAACACACACCUCUUCAUUAAUCCAUUUCUUGACGGCCGUUAACUUUUUUCCGUUUAUAGUAGAUGAUUCAAGCCGUCACGUCAACCAACCUUUCCUUAUUUAGUAAACGACACCACCAUCUUUACAUAACGGCGAGUCCUGAAAUAGAAUAACCGAACGGAGAUAAAGGUGAUAAUGGAGGAAUACUAAAUAUUCCCUUCAUAUCUUCACUAUCCCAAAACCCUUUCCAAUUUGACGGCGUUAAACAUACUCCCGUCGUCGUUACGUUUUCCGUUAUCUCUUCCUUUUUCACUACUUUCCUCUCUUGUUCUUCUUCUUCUCUUUUUCUUUUAUUCGAGGGUUGGGAUUCAGUUGAGUUCGAGUUUCCGAUUUCGAGAGGGAAAUUCAAAAUUGCUUUACUUCCACGUAGCUUAAAAGCAGCUCUAUCAUAAGCUUUAGCGGCUUCGAUAGCGGUUUCGAAAGUUCCGAGCCAAAUUCUAGAACCUUUUCGAUUAGGGUCUCUAAUUUCGGCUGCGAACUUUCCCCAUGGUCGUCUUCUUACACCCCUGUAAUGCCUUUUCUCGUCAUGUUCCUCGAUGGCUUUCGUGGCGGUGGAGGUUAUUUCAACUUUCGAUGGUGGAAUUGUGACGUUAAUAGAAGGACGACGUUGGCUUAGGGUGGAUUGUUUAUGAAACUGGGGUGUUGGAGGAGGUGAAAGAAAGGUUUCCAUUGAAGCAAAAUCAUUAAGGUGUUGAUUUAUGAGUUCUAAAGCAGAUGAUGUUUCUCCGAAAGAAGCCAUUCUUGGGAAGCUAAAAUUAAUAAAAUGGAAGUGAAGUUGGAGGAGAAGGUGAUGGAUUUGAGUGGAAAAGAGAGUGUGUGGUGGGUUUGUAUAUAAAGGGGAAGAAGAUACAUGGAGAUGGAAAUUAAGAGAUUUUCAUAGGAGGUUUCCAGGAUAGACACAGGAAGUAUCCUAUACUUUUAGCCAUGGGUCCAAACUGGAGGUUCAAUAACAUCAUCCAAUUUGGCAUUUUCCUCUACACUCACUAUUUUAGUAAUUUCCACCACCCCUCGCACGUCAUUUUUAGAUAGAGAUUCAAUUUUUAUUAUUUUUUAAAAAUCUAAAAAUUAUUUAUUUUGUUUUUAAUUUAAUAGAUUAGCAUGUUGAACUAAUCGAAUUAACGAAAUUUUUUAAUACUUUAACAGUUAAUUAAAUCAAAUUUUUUAAAAAAUUAAUUAAAUUGAAAUAUUUUAAUUAAUUCAAUGAAAAACCGGAAUUUAUAUAUAUUGUUAAAAUAAGUAUAAAAUAUAUAAAAAUAAAUAAAUUGAUAAUAUUCAUUUGAUCAAAUUAACCGAAUUAAAAUUACAUAUAAUUUGUAUUAUUAAAUAUUAAGUUCGGUUAUUUACUCAAUUUUAAACCAAAUUAACCAACCUCUGACUGAAUUAGAUCGAUUCGGUCAAUUAAUUCGAUUUUAACCGAAAUUUGUACACCCAACCAAUAGUUGGCAAUUCUACUUUUUCUUUUUAAAUUAUCAUUAUGUAAAUUAACAAAAACAAAUUAUUAUAAUUCUAUUGACAUCGAUAUUUUUAUUAAUCUUUAUAUUUAAGGAUAAAAGAAUUAAAAAUUAUUAUAAAUUUAAAAAUAAAAUUAAAUUCAUCAGGGUUUUACUUGGAUUAGAAUAAGAUUAAACUAGAAAACAAGAAAUAAGGAUAAAAUCUUGGUAAUGAUCGCAAAACUUUUACAAAACAUAAAGAGUCUUUGGGAAUAAUCAAAAGUAAGUGUAUAAUGAAACCAUAUGUCAUGUUUUACCGAUAGUGACAUACUGAUUUUUAUUUUUAUAAAAUUUAAAUUUAUUUAUUAUUAGUAAAGUAAUUUAAUUAUAUUAUCUGGCGGCUGAUAUCUGAGUUUAGAAAUUUCAAAAAUUAAAAUAAAUACUGUAUUCGUAUUCAUAUAUAUAUAUGAGUUAAUUAAAUAUUAAAAUUUACUAAAUAUAUUAAUUUAAUAAUUUUAAAAAAUAUAUAAAAUAUAUUAUAUGCAUAAAAGUAAAAACGAAAAUUGAGAUGUUGUGAGCAAGAAUGAUUUAUCUUUAGCUAUCAAGUAGAAACGUGAGGAUUUCAAAUACUUGGAUUGAGUGUUAGCACGUGCCGUGGACUUUCAAAAGCUGUCGGAAUGGUUGCAAAAUUAUGACUUUGCCAAAGCAAUGUUGAGAGUUUUGCCUACGCAAACUUUUUGACCAUUCCAAAACCAAAGCUAUUACCAUUUUCAAUGUUUGUAGAAUUUUAAUUACCACGUUUCUAAAUGUAACAAUAAUAAUUUAUAAACCACUAGUAAGGGUUUAGAAUGAUGGAUAAAAAACAUUUAUGAGACAAAGACAAUCACUUCCUAUGCAUAGAUGGACACUUGAUACAAAUCAUCUUGUGUCCCCUACAAUGUAUCAUGUGUAAAGGAGGGGAACCACAAUGCAACUCUUGCUUGACUUUUAAUGCAUAUUAAUUUUUAUAAAAGGUCCAGAAUUCUUGUUGACUUAAGUAUUGAAGAACAUCUCGAAGUUUAUACUCUAGUACUUCUUAACUUAUCCUCUUCUAAAACUUCUUUUUAACAUUAAGAUUUUAAGAACAUUUUCCCUUAAGUAAAACUUUCUCAAGCAUUCUCUCAACAACCAAGCCUUUCUUCCUCGUAAAAUUAGAGACAAAGAUCACCUUCAUCACAACCUUUGUAGAGAAGAUCAAUGGAGAAAGUUGAACAAGCAACAUCUUUUAUUUCUCAAGAAGCAAUUGAAAUCCAUUCUAUUUAAUAACAUUAUAUAUACCUAAUUUUGGCUAUUAACAUUUUAUCUCUUCUUACAAAUAAAUAAUCUUAAUAUUUUGAUUAAUAAUUAUCGUAUUGUGUUUCAAGAGAUGUUCCGGAAAAAAUAUUUCACAUUAUACCAUUUCAAGAACAAUCAUAAUGCCAUUUGAAAGUACAUAAUUAAGACAAUUUUAAGGAGCUUUACUCGAUCAUACUAGUGAAAGAUUCAAAAGUCUUACCCUGCCUAAAGACUUGUUUCAUUGCUUUGGCAACCAGUUGAGAAAAGCACUAUUUGCUCAUCAUAAGAACUUGUCAAGGGAAGAUAUUUUGUAAACAAAUUAUUUUUUUAUUUAGUUUAUAAAUAAGAUUUAAAGGGGAAAGCCUGAGUGGAAGAGUGAAUCUAAUUGAAUGUGUAGAAAUGAGAUUGUAACUAAGUGAGCUAAACUUAAUGACAUCUUGUACUAUUCAUUCAUAGUGGAUUACUCUGUGAGUAAGGCUUGAUAGACAUAUAAAGGGAUUUCCAACCGUGUAACCAAAUCCCAUGGGCAUUGUUGUUACUCUCUUUUCACAAUUGUUUCUUUAAUCUUGAUUCACAACACAAUUGACAAACAACUCAACACUAUCAAAUAACAUAUGGCUCUAUAUUUUGGUGGGUACACUAUUAAUGAAAGAUUUGUUAGUUAAUAAAUUGUUAACCAAAACCGAAAUUUAAAAAAAUAUAUUUUUUAUGUCAUAGAAUUUAACUUUUAUGUUACGUUUAGUUGGAGUAUUAUUUUUUAUGUAUGUUUUAGUAUAUGAGUUGGCACAAAACUAAUUCAAUUGAUAAUAUUUAGCCACUCCAUGAGUUUUUUUUAGCGGAGAGAAGGAAAAAAUUUCACUUAUUUUAAAGAUGUCUUAUUUUUACAAUACUUUUUUACUCAUAUUUCUAAUUUUAUGUUUAAAUUCACACUAACUAUUUUUAUUUUAUUUUAUGUCUAACUAUUGUAAUACACAAGUAAUAAAAAAACUUUUUCCUUCUAUUAUUAUAAUAAUAAUCAAACAAGUAAUUACUCUCAUAAUUUUACAUUAAAAGUCGUACUAUAGUGAAAUGUCUAUUGUAAUUAACUAAUCAUUAUAUUCAGUACAAAUUUAAUAUUCUUUUUACACAAUGCUUAAAACUUAUUAUAAUCUCUCCUCAAAUCGUAAAUAAGAGAAUAAUAUGUAUCAACGCACUUGAACAUAAUCAACUAUACAAAUUUAAUUUAACUUUUGAAGAUAAAACUUUUUUUAACUCAGAAUUAUUAUUGUUUUAAAUUGUUUAAUCAUAUUUGAAAAACUUUGGAUGUAAUCAUUUUUAAAUAUAUUUUUAUAACAUCUAAUUAAUUAAUAUAUUUAACAUAAUAGAAACUUAAAAGGCUUAAAUUUAGUACUUGAAUUUGAUUUUUUUUAAUUCAAUAUAUGGAUUUGACACUUUUUUCUAAUUUAAUAUUUAAUAUUUUUUAUCCGAUUUGGUGCUUGAACUUAUUUAAUAUCAUACAAAUUACUCCAAAUUGCUAAUCAUGCUAAUUUUUAUAUGAGGUAGCAAAAAAAAUCAAUGCAUGCUUGUCAUGUGGCAAAUGACAUUGUGUUUCUUUUUUAUGCAUUUUAAAUGUUCAAUUACAUUUAAUUUAAUUAAUAUAUUUUAUUUUUAUUUUGGGUUUUAAAAUUUAUUUUAUUCAAUAUUAAUUUCUUGAGUAUGGCCCAAAUGCAUAACUUUUUAACAAGAAUGUUCUCCAAUACUGGAUAUAUUUUUAUAGUAUAAUAAGAAUUUUUUAACACCGUCAAUGUUUUGAAGUAAUUUGUAUAUCAUUUAAUAAAUUUGAGUAUCAAAUUAAAAAAAAAUAUCAAAUCUAAAUACCAAAUUGAAAAAAAAAUAAAUACUAAGUUAGAAAAAAUAUCAAAUAUCAUUUAAGGGAAUCUUAAAAUGUUUGGGGAAAAAAACUCACGGUAUAUAAAUGCGAAAUUAUGAAGGGAGUCGCAUUGAAGAUUGUGGGUCAAUUGACCCCAAAAUAACUAUAAAAAAGAGGAUUGUUAUUUUGUUUGGAAUAAAUUUAAAUUUUAUAUAAGAUUAUUUUUUAUUCAUCAGAUAAUUUAAGAAUAUUGAUUUUGAUUAAUAUAAAUUGUUAAAUACAUUAUGAUUGAUUGUUUUUAUAAUUUUAAAUUUUUAAAUAUUGAAAAAUAUAUUUUUAAUAUUGACAAAGAUAAAAUAAUUCAACAGGAAAAUAUUAUGAAUAAUUGUAAAAAGUUAUAAUUAUUGAAAUUCAUUUAAAGGAUAUUUUAUUUUAAUUACUAUUCUAAUAGUUUGUAAUAAUUUUAAAUUUAAUCAUUUUAUACAUUAACUUAUCAUAUGUUAAUAUUAUGUAGUAAUUUGAAUGAUUUUCUAAAACGUUUGGGUUGAAGACUUGACUAUUAAAUCAACAUUUUGUACCAUGCAUUGAAUCCCCAUACUAUUAGUUAAUAGUCUAGUCAUCGUCAACUAGUCAACUCAUUGACAUUUACUUAUAGCUGUCCAUUGAAGCAACAUCCCAUUAAUUCUUUUAUAAUUGAUUAAAUUUUACUAUUAUGCAUAAAUUAUAUUAAUUUUUUUAAAAAAAUAAAAUUUUAAAAAAUUCAAGAAAGGAAAGGAAUUUUAUUGAAAAGGGUAACUAUAAAAUUCAAAAGAUCACGACGUUGGCCUACCCCUCCCUACGCCCCCAACAACUAGUUAGGAAUAUUCUUUUUACAAGGGAUUAAUUUUAUGUUAAAUUGUAAAAUAUCUGAAUUAAAAAUAUUAUGUCAUCGUUUUUAACUAGAAGUAUUCAUACGUUAGGUCGGUCCAAAUAUGAAUCUAAGGAUGUUGGUAAGAGUUUGGUCUCUUAAAAUAGAAAAUUAUUAUUUAGGCCAUUAGAUUUUUUUAAAAAAUUUAAAUUAGUAAAAAUAAAAUUACACUUUAAUCUCCUUAAAAUUAUAAAAAAAAUUAAUUUAAUUAUUUAAAAUUUAUAAAAAUAUAGACUAUAAAAAAUUAAAAUUUCAAUCACCCCUCAAAAAUUGUUCUAGCUUCGCCUUUAGGUGGGUUGAUUCAAGUCAGAUUUAUAUAUGGUAUUGACAAAAUUUUUGUUUGCCCAAAACCUUACUAGACUUGAAAUAUGAGUCUCGAAUUUUGGCCAAAUUUCAUUUUUAUAAAUAAUUAACUUAAACUCGUUUUAAGCUCACCUAUAUUUUUUUUAAAAUUAUGUUUUUAAUUAAAUAUUCAAUAACUUUAUAUGUUUAAUAUAUUAAUGUUUACCUAGUAUUACAUAUUAUUACAAAUUUAAUUUUCAAGUCAUAUAAAUUACCUAAUAUAUUAGAAUAAAAAAAAUAUGUUACAAUAUGAAAAAAGGAUUAGAGUAUGCAGGGUUUGAGAUUAAAUCUAUAUUUUAAUUCAAUUUAUUUUUCGUAUAUAACAUUUUUAUUUAAAUCUUUUCGAAUAACUAAACUUUAAAUAAUUAGAUUCUUGGACAACUUAAUGUAUAAUAAUUUAAUAGAAAACAAAAAACCAUACCAUAAAUAGUACCAUUAUUAACAUACUCUUUUUUUUAAUAUUACAAUAUUAUAUGAUAAUUUCCAAAAGAAAAAAGAAAUUAAAAUUGCGGUGUGGGAAGUGACGUAAGGAAAGCCACGCGGGGGAUCGUCGAAGGUACGUAAGGCACGCAAAGGCAUGGUCAUUGGGCACUACCGCACGCCACUUUUAACCAACAAACAAUUGACCACUAUGCAUUCACUAUUCAACGCUUGAAUUCUGACCUAUAAUAAUUAAGCUUCUAAAAGAAAUAAUACUUUUUUUGGCAAUUUCUUUAAAAAAAUCAUUUUAUAUUAUUAUUUACUGAAAUAGUCAAUUUUUUUAUUAUUUACCAAAAAUAAUCAUUUUCCCUGAGAGUGCGUCCACGUUAGCACAAAGUCAGGGGACGUGUCAGCAAAACACUCCCCAGGGAAACGUUUUGCCCUUAACGGUCACAUGACCGUUUCAUUUUUUCACACAAUAGUCCUCUCACAAUUCUCUCUAAAUUCUCUCAAAUUUCUCUCAAUUUUUGUCAAAGCUCUAUCUAAUUUUUGCAAAAAAAUUCUGUUUAAUUUUUUUUGAAUUAGUUUUAUUUUUAUAUUACAAAAAUAUUCGAUCCUGUUAGAAAUGGCCGGAGAAUUAGUUCGUCUCGAUACGAAACAUAUCUCCGUCGAUCAAAUGACAAUGGUAAGUAAUAAGUUUAAUUAAUUUUUGAAUAAUUUUUAAUUUUUUUUCAUUUAUGCAAUUUUAAUUAAUAUUUAUUUUAUAAUUUUUUAUAACAAUCUGUAGAUCGAGUGUUGCAGUGCUAAAUUCGUAAUACUUUUGGUCCUCCAUCGCCGUUGAUAGAGAAUUACCUACGGGAAGUGGGUUUUUGGCACGUGGCCACGAUAGGCCGGGGGUGCAAGUUGGACCCGAAACUAAUCAGAGCAUUGAUAGAGAAGUGGAGACCCGAGACGCACACUUUCCAUCUUCCAUGCGGAGAGUGUACUAUCACUCUGUAAGACGUUCAAUUGCAAUUGGUAUUGCCGGUCGAUGAGUACGCAGUCACUAGAUCCGCUCAAUCUGCUGAUUAGGGGGCCGUCUGCUACGAGCUUUUGGGUGUUAUUCUGGAUAAUAUUAAUGGAGGUCGGAUCGAGAUAGGCUAGUUACGAGACACAUUUUCAGAGUCGGAUAAUGAUUCGACUGAAUUAGAAAGAAUACGAUAUGCUCGGGCAUACAUUCUUAAGAUGAUUGUAGGUUAUCUGAUGCUAGACUUGUCAUGAAACCGCGUACAUCUGAUAUGGCUGCUGAAACUCAUUGAUUUUAGAGCAACAGGUGAAUUAAGUUGGGGGUCUGCCGUGUUAGCAACAUUGUACCGGGAGAUGUGCGAGGCGAUGUGACCGAAUAAAGCCAAAAUCGGAGAAUGCCUAUCACUACUGCAAUCAUGGGCAUGGCUUCACUUUCCAUUUUUACGUCUUCAAGUGAACCACCCAUAUACAUUUCCACUAAUAACGAGGUAAAUUUAUAUUAGAUUUUAUAAUUAUUAGAUAGAUUUAAAAUAUAAUUGUAUGCUAAAAAAAUAUUUAAUUAGGUGGAACCAUUCGGCGAGUUAUGUUGGAAUACCUACAUCUCUUGAAGAUAUACAACUUCUAUUAGACCGACGAUCGGAAACAUAAGUAAAUAUUAAAUAAAAUAUAUAUACAUAAUAAAAUAGUUGUUUCGUAUUUAGUAUUUAAUAUUUAGUAUUUAGUAUUACCUAUAUAACUAAUAUUUUUAUCAUGUUUAUAUAGUUUCAAUGGACACUAUACGAGGAUUUGGCAAAUUGGACAAUAAUUCCAGAUGAAUUUUUUUAAAAUCCAAACAUUUGGCAUGUGAAGGUCCCAUUGGUCAACUAUGCUAUCGUGGAGAUGCACCAGUCAAAUAGGGUAUUGCCACAAUUUGGAUUCCGACAACUGAUUUUUGUGGAACCUAAGGUGCUCGAUUAUAAGCACAAAGUCGACUUACGGCUAUUGAAUACAAAUUGGCCGAGACACUAGUCAAAAUAUAUCGAAAUGUGGGAAAAUCGGUAUGACUAUAUACCUACUCGGGAACCGAUCAUCAUUCCGGAUUUAGCAUGCGUGCCGGAAUACAUGCCAUGGCUUAGGAUCCAUGACAAGCCAUAUUUACUGUCGGAAGAGGAGACGUCACGACAAAUUCGUGUGCAAAGGGAACAACGGGGCCCUUUAAAUCCAUGAAGAAGGGAUGACGACGUGAGCCCAUCAACAGCGCCCACACAAUCACCAGGCCUAUUAACAGCUCCCACACAACCACUUGGCCCAACACUUCAACCGACGACACCCAUAUCACAGCCUUUUCAGAUUAUGCCAAGUGCGUAUCUUAGCCCUUAUAUGUAUUCUAAACCUUUUAUGUUUCCUUUUCCCAGUCUUAUGGCAGGUUGGAAUGCAUGACCCAGUUCAUCUCCAUUCCUAAUUACUUUGAGUCAACCGUCGAUCAAUAGGCCACCGUCGCAUAAGGGAUCGUAUGAGGUGCCGUCGGAGAGCUCUUUUUUUUUACCAUUCCCCAUCGCCUUAUGGAAUUCAAACACCUCCACCAUGAGUGAUGCAAAUACCUCUGCAUUCAUUAUUCUAUCAAUGUGGGUCAUCCUCCCAACAUUCACAACUAGAUCCCCUGCUGGAGGAACCACAAUCCCCACCAGAGCAACCACAACCUUCGCCGGAAGCUGAACUAAGGAGGAAUCCAGCGUGUAACCGUCGACAACCCCCAUGUGGUACUGAUUUCGACCGAUACCAACAUUGAUUUUUUUAAUAUAUUUGUAGAAACUUUUUUUAUAUAGUUUCAUAUAAUAAAAUAAAAGUUGUUUUUAAUAUUUUAAUUGUACUUUACUUUUUUUUAAUUUUAUUAAAAUAAAUGUUGUUUUAAAUUAGGCAAUAUUUUUAUUUUUUUAUAUUUGAUAAAAUAAAAGUUCUUUUUAAUAUUUUAAUUGUAUUUUACUUUUUUAAUUUUAUUAAAAUAAAUGUUCUUUUAAAUUAGCCAAUAUUUUUAUUAUUUUUAUAUUUAUUUUUAUAUAGUUUUAAUUAAUAAAAUAAAAGUUGUUUUUAAUAUUUUAAUUGUACUUUAUUUUUUAAAAUUUUAAUACAAUAAAUGUUCUUUUAAAUUAGUCAAUAAUUUUUAUUAAAAUAAAUGUUAUUUUGAAUAUGACAAUAUUUUAAAUAUUUUUUAUAUUUUUAAUAAAAUAUAAAUAAUGCAACAUAAUUUUAUUACAACAACUAUCAGCUAUAUUGAUUUGGACAUGAUUGAGUUAUAUUAGUCAAUAAUUUUUAUUAAAAUAAAUGUUAUUUUGAAUACGACAAUAUUUUAAAUAUUUUUUAUAUUUUUAAUAAAAUAAAAAUAAUGCAACAUAAUUUUAUUACAACAACUAUCAGCUAUAUUGAUUUGGUCAUGAUUGAGUUAUAUGGCCUAGGUUCCUAUACUAUCCGCACAACCUCUGUUGGUUUGUUGUUUCUCGGAUAUCCAUAUAGUUACGUAUUCUGGUCGAGUAAGGUUGACCUUUUGGUUUACGACGCAAUUCUCUAUCCGGUAACAGAAUAAACGGAGCAAGCGAUACAGACAGCCACUUACGUUCAUUUGGGAUCAGUAGGAAUACGUGUCUCCACACGUUGUACAUGUAUUCUAUUUUGUACACUUGGUCAACAUAUGUCAUGGGAUCCAGACGGAGAUUCUAACAAGCUGCAAUUACAUGAGCGCAUGGAUAACGUAGUGCGUCAAACACCCCACAGUCGCAUGUCCUAUUUCUCAAGUGUACACGAUAUUGCCCACCAAUAAUACAUUGGUUCGGUCUGUCAAACUCAAUCACACGAAACCAUAGGUUGUCGCAAUCGUGACACACUUUGUGCAUGUGUUGGUUCGUGCCUUCGCCUUGUUAAUCUCUCGCAAUACCUUCACGUACCAUACAUGGCCUCCCUGCAUUUGGCCUUUAUAACUCGCUGCUUGCUUUGGAAAUAGUGCCGCUAAACGAAAAUAUGUCUCUCGUACAACGGCUGUUAUCAGUAAAUGAUGCUUUCCUUUUAGAACAGAAUUUAUGCAUUCAACCAGGUUUAAGGUCAUAUGACCAUAUCGUAGGCCGCCGUCGUAUGCUUGUGUCCACUGUUUGAAAGGUAUGUUACAAAGGUAGUCUACACCUUCUUUGUUAACUGAACGCAAAAUCGCUAACAUCUCGUGAAAACAGUUCUUACUUAUCUUAUACUCUGCCAAUAUAAGUUGAUAAUGAAAAUUACAUACCACUCUUCCAUUCAGAAUAAACUAAAUAUUACAAACGAAAUUAUAUUAAUAGAGAUUAAAUACUCAUGUUGGUCACUUGCUGUCGUUCAGUUGUAGAUUGUGAAUUGAAUCGAGACAUGAGAUUUGAAGCAUGAACUUAAGGUUCAUAAAUUUGUUAAAAUAUCGAAAUAAGAGGUGAAAAUAGAAUGAAUUUGAAAUAAUGAAAUAGUGUAUGAGUUAAUUGAAUAUAAUCAUAUGAAUUAAUUAUAAUUAUUUUUAUUGAAAAAUGUUGGUUUAAAUAAUUAUUGAAAGACUAACGUUGUAAGGUUUUAGAUAUGAAAUAGAAUAAGUUAUUGAAUUGAGAUAUAGAAAUGAAAUAUAUGAAAUAAUGAUUUUAUGAAAUGGUUAUUGAUAAAAUGCAUGAAAUGAAUAUUGAUAGAGUAAGAAGAUAUAUAAAUUAAAAUGAAGCAAAGCUAUUUAAGAUACAUAUUACUAAGAAAAUUUAAAGUUUUAAAUGCAUGAAUGAUUUAUUGAAAGUAAAAUAGUGGUAAGAUUAAUUGUGCAUAUAUAUUGUUUUUACUUUAAGUAUUUGAAUUAUAGUAAUACCAUUGGGUGUAUACUCAGUGUACGGUUUGUUUCUAAAACAUAAAAAUUAAGUAAAAAGGGCUAAAUUGACUUACCUAUUUAAGCUUCAAGCAUCAAACCCCCAAUUUUCCCUUUUUUUUUUCCUUCUUUCCUUCCCUUAUUUCUUCCGUGCUCUCUGUUCUUUCUCCUUUCUUUUUCUUUUUGUUUCUUUUUUUCGUUUACUUUACUAUAUAUAUAUUAUAAUAAUAUAAUAUAAUAAUAAUUCUUAUAUUAUAAGUAACUAUAUAAUUGUAUUACACAUGUAUGUAUUUAGUUCAUUACACAUGUAUAUUUUAUUAUCGUACAUUUGUCAACUUGUAAUUUAUUUCAUAAUAAAUAUCAAUUUAAUAAAAAUAACAUUAAUAAAUAUUAAAUGUAAAAACCAUAAUAAAUAAUAAUAAUAAUUUAAUAUACAUAUUUAUGCAUAAAACUUAGGACAAAUGGCAUAAUUUCCAUUUUAGUCCUCUUUAUUUUCUUUUAAUCUACAAUUAAACUUUCACACUUUAUUCAAUUUGGUCUUUUUACUUAAUUACUCUUAAUUAAAUUAAAUUUACUUAAUUAAACUCUAAUUAACCACUUAUUUUACUUCGUAAAUAUUUUUAAUAAAUAUUUAUGAAUCCGUUUUUUAGAAACGGAGACCCGAAAAUACACUUUUCCGAUUACAGUAAAAUUUGGGUCGUUACAAUGUUCCUACUAGUAGUAAGGACUAAAUUAUAAAUUAUUUAAAUUUAUUAUUUAUCCGUUUUUAUGUUCUAAUAUAUUACUGAUUAGCCAAGAAUUACUUUGGCACCAAAUGUAAUAAUCCUAUAUUAGGUUCCUUGAGUCGAACAUGAUAUAGGGGUGUUACAGGCGACCAUGACCCACUUGGAUUGUGUAUUUACGAUAGUCCAACCAAACAAAUUACUAUGAGAUUACUACAAGAAAGAGUUGGUGAACUUUGUCAGGAUUAUUAUGGCUAAUUGUAUUUAGCUUCUUCUUCCUACAAAAAAAAAAUGUGUAAAAGUAAUAAUACAUACGCAUGUUAUAUGUCUUUUAAUUUUGUUGAUUUGAUUCCCACAUUCUUUCAUUUUUGAACAUAAUUCUCAUUUUCUUUAUUUGAUGGAAAUUCACGAUAUGAAUUCUAUGAUCAGUUUACAACAAUUAUCUCUCUAUAACUGGCAAAAUUUGGGUAGACAAACGUGGUUGUUAUUGAGAGGGUUGUUGUAUUUAUAUUCAUUCUUUGACUUUUUUUUUUGUCAUCUGGUAAUUUAUUUUGAAUCUCAAUUAAAUUCAAAAUUGAGUCGAGCCAAAUCUUUAAAAGGGAGAGUAGCUCUUUCAAUGCUAUUUUUUUUCCAAUUCUACUUAAAUAUUGUUGUUUAAAUAGGAUCAAGAUCGAUUAUUAUACAUGUUUGAACAGAGGGUUAGAACAAUUUUAGAGUGAACUAGGGUGGCAGGACGGGGCAAGCAGAGGCCUUGGCCCUCCCUUCCCCACCCCCACCCCCACCCCCCCAAAAAAAAAGAAUAAAAAAAUCACAUUUAUUAAUUAGCAAUGGUAAAAUUGCAUUUUGGCCUCCAGAAUGAUAUAUUUUAAUUUAAACCUUUAAAAUUAUAAAGAUAUUAGCUAAUACAAUGGUAAAAUCACAUUUUAACUCUUAUAAAAAUUAUAACAUAAUUACACCCCCUAAAACAAAUUCUAAUUCUGCCUCUAAAAAUGAACCACUGAAAAUCGAAGUUGAAUCACGAAUCAUGAACCAGGUGAACCAAUUUAUUUAUGUUUUUAGCCCAAAUUAAUGACUCAAAUCGAAAAAAAGAAACACCAACUCAUCCAACUCGAAUAAUUAAACCAACCAACAAAAUCCACCUAAAUACUUAAAAAGAUGAAAAAUAAAAACUAACUUAAGUCAGAGUAAAUAAUUUAUGUUUACAUCAUUAUUAAUAUUUAUUUAUACUUGUAAUUUUUUUAAAAAAAAUUUCUAAUUUUAUUUUACUUACUUUUUAAAAUUUAAAAUUUAUAAAUUCAUUCAACCAAUUGAAACUAAUUUCAAAACCAUUGACUUAGUAACAUCAAACUUUAAACAAUUGUAGUUUUUUUCUUUUAACAAUUUUAUUAUAAGUUUUAAUUAUAUUUAUUUUUUUUACACAAAAUUAUUUAUAGCUCCUCCUCAAUCAAUAAAUAAGAGGAUAGUGUAUUUUAACGCACUCGAAUCCGCAUCCUCUUACAUUAACAAUAAUUAUAAAAUUACAAAUAUAAUAUAAAAGUCUUACCUCCUAAAUCAAUUUUUGUUGUUUUAUGAAGUUAUCAACAAUUCGUCCAAAUUUCCUAUAAAAAAAGAAAAUCAAAUUCGACGAAAUUAAUUAACGUAACGUGAAUCACGCACUUUAUAUUAGUUAAUAGAAGAAAAAAAUAAUAACAAUUGUUGUGAAAAGGAACUACAAUUAAUUUUAUAAAAAAAUAUAUUAAUAUUUAACAUUAUUUAGUGUAGAAUUUGUUUAGUAUUAAUAUACCAUUAAAAUUUAACUAUACAUAUUUGUCUUUAAAACUUUUAAUAGAAUAACAACAAAUAAUUUAUUGUUAGUAAAUAAAUUUACACAUAAAUAUCAUAUGAAAUAAAAAUUAAAAAAAAUUAUAGAACUAAUGAGGCCUUGACACAGUUAAUAAAAAUGGAGCUAUGAGUCUUUGAGUAUUUGUCAUAUACAAUUGUCAUGUGCGAUUAGUCCCAUCAUAUGUUGUUAUUGUGUUUAAAUUUUAAUCCUGUAGGUUAGUUUUAAUUCUAAUUAUUCGGAUUUUUAGUCCAUUGAUAUUGAUGUUAAUUUAACCAAACAUACAUUUCUCUAAAAAAAAACGAAGGUGAAAAAAAGUAAUAGGUAUUUGUACUAUUAACAUAUUUGGAAUUUAAUUUUUAUAUAUUUUUAUUUUUAAGAAAUUAAAAGAAAACAAUUAAUAUAUAGAUUAAAAAUAGGAAAAAAAACAAACAAACAAAUAAGACAGAGUUCGGUCGGCAAAUAAUAUGAAGUAAUGGAAGGAAGAGUGAAGACAAUGGGGGCAUGCCCUAUCAUAAUCGUAAAAUUAAUUAAUUAAAUUAAAUUAAAUUAAAGCCGCUACACCUUUUUAUUUAAAUUUCCUUUUGACAAAUUGCAUUUUAUAACGUACAAGGAAGAAAAGCGUGAAAGUCACUUCCAUCUAUUUAAAUUUUAAAGGCCCUACACCUAUGUCACAAAUUCAAUACACACAAAUAAUAUAUUUGUAGUAAUUUAUUUUUUCUUUCAUAUUUCAAUUAUAUUUUUUUAUUCUCUAUUUAGUUAUAUACAUCAAGUAAGUUUGUUGAAAUUCUAUAAAAUAUAAAUCUUUUUACUAGAAUCUCGAUAAUGAUCAUCUCUUGAUGUUUAAAUAAACAAAACUUAUAAGUUUAAUCUAUCUUCAAAAAGAAGGUAAGUAACUUAAGAAUUAGCGGAACUCUUCCAAACUAUUUUCGCAACUCUUUAAACACUCUCAAACCCCAAUUACUGAUUCUUGACUCUCCGUGUGAACUAUUUCUAGUUUCCUAACACUAAACCUUGUAUCAACAACCGGCAUUGUUCGUGGGAAACAAAGCAAAAACCAUGUCUCUACCAUAUGAAAACAACCCCAACUUGUCAUACCAAAGCAUUCCAACCGACGUUCAACAAUAAUAGACUUCCUGCUAGGGGUGUAAAUGAGUCGAGCGGAAAUAGAUAGCGGCAAGCUGAAGCUCGAUUGGAAAUUCAAGGCUUGAUACUAGGCUCGAGCUUGAUGAACAUCAAUAUCUCAGCUUGAACUCAACUUGAGACAUAAUUGAGCUACUCAAGCUUAAGCUUCAUUAGACUCGUUUUUUCAAUUUUUGAACUCAAGCUCAACUAAGCUCAUUCAUACUUAAGCUUUUUUCUAUAUAAUAAGGAUAAUGAUAUAAUUUCAUAAUAUAAAAAUACAUUAAAAAGAAUAGCUUGAUUAGGCUUGUGAGUUGUUAGAAUUGAGUAUUAUCAUGUUCAAAUUCAACUUAAACGAUAGCUCGAGCAACUUGAGCUCGAUAAUUACUAAAUCAAAUUUGAAUUUUGUAAAUUAAACUCAAAUAUCAUAUGAGCAUUGAUGUCUCAUUUACACUACAACUCCCUCUUAUAUUUCUUUCAACUUUGCCUCAAAGGCUUCCACUACCUUCAUCAGGUGAGCAACCUUCCUUUGCAAUGUCAUAUAUAUAGAGAGAGAAACCUAAGCUACCUGAAAAAAAAAAAAAACCCACCCUUCGUUUGUUUUCAAAUAAGCGCAGUCAUCCUUUUGCUUGGUCAUAAUCUUAUUCUUUGAGCUAAACUAAUCGUAAUUGUUAUGUCAUGGUGAUGUCAUACUUAUAUUAAUUAAUGAAGUUACAUGCUCCUUGUUUAGGAAGCAGUCCCCGUGUAAAUAAUAAGACAACUAAAAAAAAAUCAACAAUAAUAAAUUAAACACCUAUUUUAACCCUUUAACAAUACUAAGGCUAAUCUCAAACCUCAUGUGAUGGCUUGAUAGCCAAAAGUGUUCACCACCUUAAGUGUAGUCUGGGUUUGAGUCACAAUAGUCAUGUUUAUUGUUCGGACUUUGCCCUGUUAUUGUAAUUCACCAAAUACUAAGGUAAAUCUCUAUGUAUUAUUUUUUCUUAUCAAUAUGCAUGGUAUAAUGAGUUUCAAUAUUCAAAAUUUUUUUGGUAUAAUCACAAGAGUACUCUUUUGUUUUACAGUCUAAUAGUGUUAUACUUCUCCACCACUCGGACACAUGUCAAUACUAGAAGUAUUGUUGACUUCAUUGUUGACUUCAUGAAAUUUUGUUCACAUGAAAUUUUGAUUAUGAUUCAAAUGGAUAUAUGAAAAUUUAAUAAGACAACUAAAAAAAUAAUAAUUCAACAAUAAUACAUUAAACACCUAAUUUAACCCAUUACCAAUACUAAGGCUAAUUUCGAACCCCAUGUGAUGGCUUGAUGGUCAAAGGUGUUCACCACCCAAGUUAUGGCCUGGAUUUGAGUCACACUAGUCAUAUUUAUUAUUUGGCUUUGCCUUAUUAUUGUGAUUCAUCAAAAAAAAUACUAAGGCUAAUCUCUAUGUAUUAUUUUUUGUUAUCCACAUACAUGGUAUAAUGAGUUUCAAUGUUCAAAUUUUUUUUUGGUAUAAUCAUAGGUGUACUCAUCUGUUUUAUGGUCUAAGAGUGUUAUACUUCUCCGCCACUCGAACACGUGUCAACAUUAGAAGUAUUUUUGACUUCCUUGUUGACUCCAUCUAAAACUAUGCAUUACCUGACCAUCUUUUCUCAACACUCUUUGGUGAGACCAUCCGUCCCUUCCUCAAAGGAGCUAGCCACCCACUUUUUAAGUAUGAACGCUCUUCAGGUGUGAACACUCUUUUAAGGCUAUAAGGGAUCCAGUUGAGUGUAACAAUCUUAUACUAAUUGAAUGAAUAAUGAAAUGGGCUCCACAAUACACGUCUUUCACGCAAGAAUAAUUUUAUUCAUGGCAAUUUGUCACAUCACACUAAUGGAAAAAGGGGCUUCUAUAAAUACCCUAAUCAACGAUGAAGAAGAGAUUAAUUUUCAGCACCCUAAAAUUACUCUGAGUAAUUGCCCUCUCAGUCUGUCAUUUUGUCCUUAUUCUGGCUCUUGGCCUUUUUAGGUGAACCAGCCUCCACGGCCCCGCCUUGACCCUCCUCCCUUGUUGUACACUGUAUCAACAAAGAGUAAUCAUAUUCGGGUUAGGAUGGUAUUAAGGUAAAGUCCUUCCAAUAAUGACAAGAUUGGAACUUGGUUGAAAUACCUAAAGAAAUCUACUACUAUUUUUUUCUAGUCACUUAUUGAUAAGAUUGAACCUAAUUAAUCCAUCAAUGAAAGCUUGCACAAAUUCUUAAAUUGGUAUCUAUCUCCUUAGCUUUGGAUCUUAUGAUUGAAUCACUUAAAAACUUUUAAGUCUUGAGUGCAUCUACUCCAUUUCCAUAACCUUAGUUGGGUUCUUGAAUAUCUUGCUUGCCUUCCAUACUAUUAUUAGAUAAUCAAACUAAAAAUAUUGUAACAAUAUCUAGCACUUCAUUAAUAUGAAAAUAUUUUUCAAAUAUUACAACCCAAUUAAUUAGUUUUCGAAAAAUAUAUAUUAAACAAAUGAAGUAAUUGUGGAUAGCAGCUUCUAGCCAAACUUUGUCUCUGUAUAAUCAAACUGACGAAAGCAUAUAUAAUAUUAAAAGGAUAAAGGCAUACAAUAUUAAUCACAUGAAUUAUAUAAACUCUUCAUCAAAUACCAAAAAAUUGCUUCUUCUCAUUUGGACCAUUUUGCUAAACCUUUCAUUUUAUUUUUUAUUUCCAAAGUCAGAAUUGUUAAAUUAUAUUGUAAGAUGCCUUAAUUUAUUCAAUGUGAUAUAUAUAUAUAUAUAUAAUGUAUUAAACAAAAUUCCAAACAGAUAUUGAUAAUUUUAAUAGUUUAUUAUCUUUAAUUUGUUAAAGUUGUAUGACUUAAAUUCUUGUUAAAGGAAAAAACAGUGGUAAAAUAGGAGGAUCUGUGGCAAAACAGGCUGUACAAUGAAAUCCAUAUAGAAAUAGACUUAUUCUAUUUGAUACUGAUUGGAAUAAGGUGUUUCUACCUUAUUACACUGUUUCUAUUUGACAUUGAUUAGAAUAAGAUUUUUUUCAACCUAUAAAUAGAUUUAGUCUAAACUCUUCUUUUACCAUUCGAAUUCGACAUUAGUGAUUUUUUUCUCCUCUACCAGUGAUUUUUUUUCCAAAAAAGUUUCCACGUAAAAUAUGAGUGUUAUUAUUAUUAUUUUUCUUUCUUUUUGCUUUGAGAUCGUUCUAUAGUGUCCUUGUCGACGUUCAACUUUUACAAACUCCAUACUAAUGAGGGAAAAAUAACAAAAAAAAAAAAGUGAAGUAAACAAACACAUUUUUAUAAAAUUUUCUAAUAUUAAUGUUUUAGUAAUCCAACAUCAUAUUUCAUAUUUUAUUCAUACUGAUCGUACAUGUCAAGUUUGGAGUAAAUUAUUAUUUUUAGAUAUUUAUUUUUUGUAAAAAAUUUCAACUAUCGUAUAUACAUAUAUAUAUUUUUAAAAUUUGGAAAUAUCAUUAACUUUUUCAGCCUUUUUUAAAGGAGAGUUUUUUAUUUUAGCCUUGAAAGCUUACGGAAAGGAUUGUAUGAAACUGUGAUUCCACAUCAUCCCUAUUCCUUCCCAAUAGGAGAAUGACAAAUCGGAAAAAGUUAAAAAUUAGGAGGAAAAAUCUGAUUUAUCAUUCUCCUAUUAGAAAGGGAUAAGAAUGACGUGAAAUCACAAUUUCAUACAAUUCAUUCUCUGAAGGCUUAAGUGGUUAUAUCUUGGCCUUGAAAAGUUAAAGAUUGUAAUUUUUAUUAAAAUGACCCUAAAUUUUUAAUAAAUUUUAAAAAGAACAACCUUACCAUCCUAAUGACUUUUAAAUAAAAACUUCAAAAUAAUUCAGUAAAUUAAAUGAAAACUUUUGAAUAAUUCAAUGAUUAUUUUAUAAUUUUUUAAAAUUAAAUGACCAAAAUAUAAACUUACAAAUAUUCAGAUAUUGGAUAUAGUUUUUGUUUUUAAUACAAAAAGGAGGCUCAGCAAUAGCAACAAAAGGACUAACAAUACUUGCUCCUUCCUUGGUUCCUAAAGCCUUUAUGCCUUGAUGGAUUCAUUUGUUCCCAUGGCUUGUAGCACCGUGCACUGCCCAAUACUCCUUCCAUAUCCCAGGAGCCAAUUAUUACAGGGGCAAAUGCAAGGGGCAGGUACACAUCUUGCCCCAAAUUAGUAAAAUUGCAUUUAAGAUCCCUUAAAAUUUUAUAUAAAAUUAUAAAUUAAUGUAACAUUAAAAUUAUCGAUUAUAUUUUGUUUAAUGCCAAAAUAUAUGCUCAUUUCCCUUGUUUGAAUAUAAAGCCAUUUGUAAUUAUAAUUUUCUAUUCCUAAUUAUAAAUUGCAAAUGAGAAUUUUAUUCAUCUUUACAUUUGUUUUUCAACAUUAAGCAUAAACUAGUGGAAUCCAUGUGAAUCUCAUAAAAAUUUUCCCAUUUAACACAUGUUUUAGAAAAUUGAAAUUUAGAUCCACUUUUUGAAUAAAAAAAAAUACAUUUUUCAUCGAUCCAAAUAGUUGAAUGUAUCCCAUAAAAAAGGGGUUGAAUCUAAAUUUGUGAAAACAAAACCCAUUCAUAUUAAUUAUUUUAUUUCAUAGUUAUAUUCUGCUAUUAAUUUUUGUACUUCACAAAAUUCUUAUAUUUUUCAAAUGUUCAAAUUUCAGUUGUCACCAAACGAUAACUGUUAAAUUCAUCAAGUUAAGUUUAGUUAUUUCUAAAACCUAAUGUGCCAAACAUAUGAUCAUAUGUGUAAUAUCAUGUAAGCUUGUUAUUUCCACACAUUACUCACUAAAAAUUCAGUUAAUGGGUUAACGAUUACCAUUCAAGUCAAGAUUGAAAUUUCAAAAUUCGAAAAAAUACAAGGACUUAGAAUGAUUAAAUUGUAGAAUAUGGACCAAAUUUUACAAUUGUAUGCAUCUCACGAGAUUGAUAAUUGAAUUCAACCAAAAUGUACAAGGACUAAAAUUGACAAUUUAAAAGUACAAUGACUAAAAUUAAUCAAAUUAAAAGUAUAGAAACUAGAUGACACAACUUUCAUAAAGUAUAGGGACUAAUAGCAUAAUUUAACCUAACUCUUAAUAAGUAAAUGAAUUAUGUAGUUGAUAAAGAAAAUUUGUCAAAUGAGUAAAUUAAUAUGGAUUAAUAUCACCAUGAAUAUAAAUAAGAAACAUUAAAAAAUCAAAUUAAUAAACCUUAUCCACUUUGCGUCCUCUGCCAUUAGACUUCAUCUACAGGCUAAAUUAAUGCUAUUAAUAUGUGGUAGAGGACAGCAAUUGGUUGAAUCAAUUGAUUUAGUCGGUUUUUUCGAAUUAAUUUAAUCGAUUUUAAUAUGAAAAAAUUGAUCAUAGAUUAUUGAGUUGAGUUUAUAUGAUUAUGUAAGAAAAUAUAAUAUUUAAUGUAGUAUUAAUAUGUCAAUAACAAUAAUAAUGCAAUACAAUGCAAUAACAGUAACAUAACAGAUCAUACUUAUAAUUAAGCAGAGUUGAAAAUUAGAAGAAGAAUUUUGUUGAGGCCUGUAUGAACAGUUUCCUUAAGACAGAUUCAACAUCUCCUCAGUGCUUUGAGUAACGUUGGACGUCUAUCUUCCAGGAUACAUCAACAAAUGAUAACAGUCAGUAGUAGCACAACAAUAUUUAUCAAUCAAACACACCAGGAGGAAUGAAUUUAGAAGGAAUUUUUUAUAUUGAUGGUUUUUGAUUAUGUGUUUUGAAAGUCUCCUAACUUGGCUUUAUAUAGAGGAGAGGAAAUAAAUGAAGAGAUUUAGACCGAUUCAUGAAGAGUUUUGUUGAAAAGUUAAUAGAUAUAAGUGAACAGACACAAUAAAUGAUGAGAUGUAAUAUUAAACCAAAAGCAAUAAAUCUGUUCAUGAUCAAAAGAUACAAUUGUUCAAAAGAUACAACUGUUCAUCAAGAGGUAAAACUAUUUUUUAAUUUAAGUAUCAAUUUAUCAUUCUUCGCUCAACAAUUUUAAGCAUAUUAUAUAGAAUAUAAAUUCAUAAUUUAUUAUUCAAGCCUUUAAUUUUAUCAAUAAAAUAAUAUACUUCAAAACUCCAACAUAUCCAUUAUUUUCUAACAAUUUAUAUUUUUAUUAUAUAUUACAUAUUUUAAAUAAUUUUAAAAUAAUAUAAAACAAGUCAAAUUUUUAAAUUAAAUUUAAAUAUUAUUAAACUCAAAUUUGAAUCAAUGAAUAAUUUAAAUUCAUCUCAAUAAUUACUAAAUCGGAUUUGAAUAAUUUUCAAACAUUUAUUCUGAUUUUCGCCCACAGAUGUACGUGUAAACCAUUGGGAAUUACCGAAACCACCCCUAGGCAAAAUAGAACUUGUCUUGUCGUGUAAUAGACUUGUAGACAUUAGGUGGUUUAAGAACUUUAUAUCAACCCAUCCAUAUCCUUCACGUGCCCCACAUUUCCUUCCAAUUUGCCCACUUGCAUUUUAUAAGUUUCAUCCACUUCCCAAAAGACAAACAUACAAUUCAUACAACCCAAACUUUUUAAUUUAUUAAUUUAUUUUAAUUCAAAUUUUAGUUUGUGUCAAUUUAGGAAUUGAGUUAGAUAAAUUAGUUCAUAUGUAUUAGAUUAAAUUAUAAAUUUAUAUUUUUAUUAAAUUUUUCAUCUAUUUUUAAAUAAUUAGGAUAAAAUGUAAUUAAACUCUUAGCAUAAUGGCUCAUAAUUACGUAAUUGAUAUUUGUUACUAUUUUAAUGUUAUGUUUUAGUUAAAAUGUCAAACAUCAUAAAAAGAUUCUGAGCUUAUUCGAGUUCAUUUUAAAAAAGAAAAUUGAGGGGAGGAUCAAAUUAUAUUAAAUUAAAAUUUAGAAAUCAAAUCUCCGUAUUAAAUAUAGUAUAAGGAUGAAAAUCUGAAAUUUAACAUUUAUUUUUGGUAAAAAUAUCUCUCUAGCCUCUCUUAAUUUUGAUAUUUAGUAAAUUGGUUUUUCUUAAAAACAUUAGAACAACAAUGAAAAUCAGAAGUUGACAUUUAUUUUUGGAAAAAAAUCUCUCCAAUCCCUCUCAAUUUUGAUAUUGAGGAAAAUGGUCCCUCUAAAAAAAAUAGAGUAAUUUAAUCCCAUCAAUUUCGAAAUGGAGCAACUAAAGAUAAUUAAUUACAAUGUUAAUAUUUUUCAUCAAUUGUACAUAAUUUUUAUUGGUAUAAUAACAAAUUUAACUCUCAAAAUUUGUCAAUUUAAUAUUACUUUAACAAAUUUAACCCACAACAUUUACACAAAAUAUAUAAACAUCAAUUGCUAAGUUCAUUAUAAUACCAAUCAAGAUUAUAUAUAAUUAACAAAACAUACGUAAAUAUCAUGAUUAAUUGUCUUUAAUUACUCACUUUUAAAACUAAAUUACUUUAAAUUUUUUAGAGGGACCAAUUUGCUCAAUAUCAAAAAUUAAAAAAAAAUUACAAAAGUGUUUUUACUUUUAUUUUACUCUUACGUAAUUUUAAUUUUCUUUUCUCAUCUAUAAAUACCCUCUAUCUCUUUUUAACUUGUGUCCAUUAACAAUCUCUUUGUCCUCCAUUUUUUUUCUCUUUGAUUUUUCAUUGCUUUACACUAUUUGAUCAAUCAGAAGCUCAACCCUAAAAGUUUCAUUAGAAUGAACAGUGUUAACCUUUCUCAUCAAUAUCCUCGAACAUCAAGCUUUACUUAACUCUUGCUUGACAGAACACUGGGGUGAUUUGCCCUUAAAAGUCGAUGACUCUGAGGACAUGAUCAUCUACAAUUCCCUUCAUGAAGCUCUUAACUUCGGUUGGUCACCGACGACGACGGGUUCAACGGCGGCAACUACAAUUAAACCUGAGCCGAAAGAUGAAUCAGCAGAGAUCAUGGAAAACGCGAAGCCAAUGGAGUUGACUCAAAAAGUGGUGAAAGGGAGACAUUACCGUGGAGUUAGGCAAAGGCCGUGGGGGAAAUUUGCGGCGGAGAUUAGGGACUCAGCUAGGAAUGGAGCAAGAGUGUGGUUAGGUACGUACGAGACAGCUGAGGAAGCUGCUUUGGCUUAUGAUCGAGCAGCUUAUAAGAUGCGUGGUUCAAGGGCUUUGCUUAAUUUCCCGCAUCGGAUCGGUGACAAUGAGCCUGAACCUGUUAGAGUUAAGGCUAAACGUGGGGCAACAAAUGACUCGGUUUCGUCCAAUGGUUCAUUUCCUAAGAGAACGAGAAGCUUGGAAGCUAACAAGGCUGAGUUGACCACUGUGUUUCAACUGGGUCUAUUGCAGGUUGGGGAACAGUUAUUGGUGAAUUAAAAAUUAUCAGAACUUUAAAAAUGAUGUUGAUGAGAGAGACGGAUGCGAACCUCGUAAAAGAUAAUCUCCAUGAACUAUAAUCUUAAAAAAUAUUUUGUUGGUUUAUUGUAAAGCAAAUUGAAGUUCUGUGAAUAGAAAAAUGCAAUAGUUUUUUUCCUUUGAUUUUGCAAUGAGAAUAUAAACAUAAAGCUCUGAAAAGUAGGAUUUGUUCCUUUUCUAAUACUAUUUGAUAUAAUUUUAAUUAUUAUUAAGUAUUAUUUUCACAAUUUACGCGUAUAUCUUAUACAAUUAAACGGUAAUUAUUAAUUUAUUGAAAAAUAAUGAACGAAAAAAUAAUGAACUGAAUUUGAAUUUAGAUGUACUAGAACUUGAACAUAAGCUAACAUUAACCUGUCAUAAGUAGAGAGGGUAUCACCAAAAGACCUAGCAGAGUCCAGUCUCCUUAAAAUGAAAAAAUAGCAUUAUCACCUAAAAAUGAUAUAAAUUUAAUUUAAUUUUUUGUAUUACAAUAAUAAAAUUAUAUUUUAACUCUUAUAAAAAUAUAUAACUUAAUUUCAAUUUCCAAAAAUAAUUUCUAACUUCGUUUUUAGUCAUUAAAAUAAAAACAUAUUAGUUUAAAGCUUGUAAUCAAACACAAUUGUUAACUUUGUAAUAAAAAAGGGAGAGGGCAUUGCCAUAACUUCUUCUUUUUUUCACUUAUUGGCAAAGAUGAUUUUAUUUCUUUAAUUUUGAUUAUGAUUCAAAUGAAUAUAUGAAAAUUUAAUUUUACUCGAUUGUGUACAUUUAAAGAAAUAAAUAUAUUAAUUUAUUUAUAUUUUGAAUAAAUAUAAUUAUUAUCGUAUGCAAUAUAUAAAACUUAAAAUAGUAUUAUAUCGAUAGUUUUGUUAGUAGUUUAUGAAAAUUAUAUUAAAUCAAAAUUUUAUGCUUAAAAUUAUAUAAAAUAAAAAAUUAUGCUUAAUUUUGAGAUUUAUCCCUCUAUAUAAUGAUAGUGAAAUUUUUAAAAAAUUUGAAAUUUUACUUAUAAAAUGCAAUUAUCUUUGUACUAAUAAAUAUAAUAUUUUUCGUGAAAUAUAAAAAUUUAAGAAAUUGAGGUUACCCAAUAUUUCUUCAUUGCUGUUGAAAAUGUGGAGAUAUCGAAAACAGUAUGACUUUUCAAAUAAAGAAAUUGCAGUGAGUUGGGAAAUUAGGCAUCCGUAAGGAAUUAUUUGUCAAUUUCCAAAUAUCAAUUACUUGUCAACUUAUUGACAUAUUUUAAAAUUAUUUAAGAAAAUUCUUUUUGAGAUAUUUUAUUAGGGGUGAAAUCAAAUUAUUUUUAAGGUGGUAGAAUUAAAUUAUAAAAUUUUUAAAAAUUUAAAAUAUAAUUUUAUUAUUUUUGAAGGGAUUAAAUAAAAUUUUUCAUAUUUUGAGGGGUAAAAUGCAAUCUUAUCGUAAAUUUACUUAUAAUUUUAUUAUUUUAAAGGGAGAAGACAUGCCAACUCCCAUAAUGCCACUUUUAACUUCUAAUAUUCAAUAGAUAUAUUACAUUCUGGUUAAAUUUAAAAUUCACUUAAUUAAAAUUAUUUUUUAUUCAUAAAAUUUGAAAUUAAUUUUUUUUAAGAAGAUCGAGCUCCAUACAAAUCGACUUUUUAAAUAUGAAUAAAAUUUGUUUAAUUUUAAGUUUAGGGUCUGUUUGAUUGAAGGAAUUGAUUUUCCGGAAAAUCAUUUCCAACUUUUCCAGCGUUUGAUUGGCGGAAAACAUUUUCCAUUUGGAAAAUGAACUCCAAAACAAGGGAAAAUGGGUUACAUUUUAGGGAAAAUGUCUUACCCUUUCAAUUUCCGUAAGACAUUUUCCGUACUCUCCUCUCUAUCGCCUCCUUCAUUCAUUCCUUCAUUUCCGGUAGAAAAUUGCUUCCGUUUAUCGAUUUUACAGUAACUUGUUUUUUUAAUUAUUCAAUACUUGUUUUUUUAACACAAUUAGAAAUAAUUUAUUUGAUAUUAAUUUUUUUCAAUUUAUAACGAUUAAUAUUGUAGCUUAAUAAUUGAGUAUUAUUAUAAAUAAAUCAUUGCAAUAUAUGUAAAAAUAAUUUAAAAUAUAAAAAUUUAUUAAUAUAUAUCAAUAUAUGUAAAAACAAUUUUUUCGAAAAAUAUUUCCAGGAAAUCUGCCAAACAGCCGAAAAUAUUUUACACAGAUUCAAUCAAACACCAGAAAAUAUUUUCCAGUAAAUCAUUUUAUAGAAAAGUAAGAUAUUUUCCCGAAAUAAUUUUACGGAAAAUAUUUUACUGACAAUCAAACAGACCCUUAAAUUAUUAAAAUGAAAAAGAAAAACAUUAUUGAGGGUCGUUAGUCGCUAUGAUUAAUUAGUUGAAUUUCCAAGUAGAUGUUCUUUUCAUAUAAAAGCCCAAAAUAUUUUGAUAUAUUUGGGCUAAAUAAUAAUUAUGAAUGAAUGAUUAUUCUUCAUUAUUAUUUUUGGAAUCUUUCCUCUAAUUAUUUCUAUUUUUCUGGUAGAUGAGACAAAUGAUUAGGUUAAUUAGUUGUUAACAAAUGUUUUCAUGUUGGUUAUCUUACUUGGUAUUCAAUUUUAAUAAAUUUUCAUAUUUAGAGAAAAUUUUUUGAUAAGUACAACAAUGCAUAAGCCUAACUGAACCUAAUCAUAGAGAUUUUUAUUUGCAAUGGCUUUUUUAAGGAGUUUAUGCUCGAUCAACUAUAAUUAGGAUAAUGUAAUAUAAAGCAUAAUAGGCUGGAAAUUGAAAUGUAUCUGAACUUAAAUCAAAAUAAAACUUGAUAGGGUCCACAUGGUAAGAUUUAAACUUAAAAUAAUUGGAGAAAAACGCACAUAUAGCAAUAUGAGACUCUAGACCUCAACCUUGCAAUACUUCUUAUCUAACAAUUUUAUAGUGUUCUCGUUAUUUUGUUAAAAAGUAAACAAGAUUAUAAAGUAAAGAGAAAUAUAGAAUAAACAAGAGAGGAGAAUAGAAGAUGAAAUGAUUAUUCAACUUUCACAUUGACCUCUAAUAAGUUUGUACAUACCCUCUAUUUUUAGGGCUUUAAAAAUCAUAAGUUACAAAGCAUUUAGGACCAAUGUUAAUGAUUUAGGGAUUAUGAAAAUUCAUUCUUUAGGAUUUAUAAUAAAGGAUUAUGGAUAUCUAUUUAUCAAUGGAUUUACAACAAAUAACAAUAUUGUUGUGAAUUGAAUGAAAUUACUUGGUUAUAGGUUUAAUAAAAUGGAGUUGAAAAUUGGGUUAUGCUUGGAUUAUAAGCCCAAUUCAUACUUGACCCAACACUACACAAGCUUAUGACCCAUGCUUGGUGUGGUCCAUAAUUGUAACAACUUAAUUUUAUUUUAUGUUGAUGAAAAUCCAAAAAUAUUACAAAGAAAUUCAGUUUUACUUUAUUUUUGAAGUGAGGAAUCGAUUGUGAGUUCUACAACCUAUGGAUGAAUCAGCCCUACCGUGUCGAACCCCGCUGUGGUGGCAGUCGCGCAGCAAUGUCUUAAGACAUUGACAAUAAUAUGAAUCAACACGAUUAAAUUACAAUAUGUGACGUAAUAGUAGUUUAUUUUAUUUUUCAAUUAUGUAGUUGGGGUUUAAUUUUUAUCUAUAAGAAUAAAAUAUAUUCGUAAAUAUUAUUUAUCUUUAUAUUAAAUUUUAUUAUUAAUUUUUAUAUUUUAUUAAAAUUAAAAUUUAAAAAUUUUAAAAAUAUAUAUUUAGAAUAAUUUAAUUAAAGAAUAUAAAUUAAAUCUAUAAAUUUAACUACUAUUAUUUAGAUUAGAUUUGGACUAAAAUUUAAAAAACAAAGACAAAAUAGAAUAAUAAUAGUAAUAAUAAUAAUAAAAUUUAACCUUACCUGUUCGAAUAGCUUCCACGAGAACCCUUUAAUUCUUACAAUACAAGCAUUGGACGUCGUCUUGUUCAAAGAACCUAAAAAAAUCAAACCCGACAAAAAUCAACGUGUCCUUAAACCAAGCCAUUUUUUACAUGCAACCCCUGCAUGAAAGCAUCCUCACCACGUGCCUUUCUUUCUUCUUACACGUGCCCCCUCUUUCCCUUCUAUAUAACCCACCUCUCUCCUCUCUCUCUCUCCAAUAUCAUACAUACCUACAUACUUAAUUUCCAUUUACUAGCAAUUUCUUCAAGUUCUUUUCUUUGUUUUUUUAAUCAAUGGCUGACCACUACCUCCAAAACACUCAACCAAUGACUCACCAAAUGGUGAAAGCCGCUACUGCCGCAACAGCCGGUGGUUCCCUCCUCAUUCUCUCCGGUUUAAUCCUAGCUGGCACCGUUAUUGCACUCACCAUAGCCACUCCACUCUUCGUUAUUUUCAGUCCAGUUCUUGUCCCUGCUCUCAUUGCAACAGCUCUCCUAGCAACGGGUUUCGUUGCCUCCGGCGGUUUCGGUGUUGCAGCUGUCACGGUCCUGUCCUGGAUUUACAGGUCCUUUAUCUUUUCUUCUUUUUUAAUGAUCUCCAAAAAUACCAUGAAAUUUCCUGUACUGUUUUUACUAUUUUUAUUUAAAAAAUAGUAAAUUAGUCUUCAUAUAUUUUCAAAGAUUAAAGAGAGUAAAUUUUAUCAAAGAUCAAAAAGAAAUAUAUUUUCAUUAAAAAUUUCAUAAAUUAGUAUGAGAUACACUUUAAUCCAUUACAUGUUAAAGUAAUGUCAAUUUUUUUAGCAGUCCGUCGGGUCAGUCAAAUUUUAAUGUAAUUUUCUUUAAAAUGAACAAAAAUAAUUAAUUUAUUCCUUUAACACGAAAUGAUAAAUGUACUUUUUUUACAUGAUUAAUUUUUUUAAUAUUUUUAUUAGAAAGUAAAAUUCAACCUAAUCAUAUUAAAUUUUUAAGAAAAUUAAUUUAUAUUUUUUAUUUAAAUUUUUAUUAGAAAAGUAAAAUUCAAUCCAACUGUUAGGGCUUUCGUGGCCCUCUUAGUAGCUUUUUCUUAUUGUUAAAUGACUAUAUAUACAGGUAUGUGACGGGGAGGCACCCACCGGCGGCGGAUCAGUUGGAUAGUGCAGGGAUGAAAUUGGCUAGCAAGGCACGGGAGAUGAAAGAUAGGGCGGCACAACUCACCGGUGCGGCGGCUUCUUAAAUUAGUUCUCUACUGCAUGCUUUUGUAAAGGAGCUGUGCAAAAGUUCAG
rnacentral:lncRNA from 1 species